rnacentral:lncRNA from 1 species
ACGUAAAUAAUUUUUAUAGCGUAAAAGCAAAAUAAAUUCCUACAUACAGUAGCACACACAGCCAGGUAUUCAAAACAUUUAACAAUGACAUGUGGGCCCCCGAAUGACUAAAAGUAAUGAAGGCUGUGAACCUACACUUUUUGAGGAUGCAAGUCCAAUUGUAACCCUUAACGAAAUGAGCUAUCUACCGACUAUCCUGAGCCUGAAAUGGGUGGAAAGGAGGGUGGUGAGAUUAUAUAAUCCCAGUGAGUAAACAAAUAUCAUCUAAAAUAUCUAAAGCUGAGUAAAUAGAGACAGAUAAAAUAAAUUAGCAUAAAAAUGAUUCACAGCAUUUCUAACUCAUUUUAAUAAGAUAAAAUAGAUUCAUUUCACCCAAAUAAACAAUGAGACUUAUGAUUUCUUGAAAAGCUUGGCUUGUCCCAAAAUCAUUCUCAUACUCAGUUGUCAGGGAUACCUUGGCCUGGGGCUAUCCCAACCGAAUCCGCCAAGGCUGUUAAAAAGUCAUGUAUGCAUAAAUCAUGUUUUUUUUUUGAAAAGAUAGUCGUUCCUUGGUGUUGGCUUAGUUCACCCUCACGUGGUGGUUCAGCGUGAAGUGAACUCUAAAGUUUUACCUCAGGAGUUACCCUACACGCCUCUCCAAUCGAGGUAAGAAUAUACCUGGAUUCCGUGCCCCUCUAAUAGGCUGGUCCACAGAACCCGCCACUGCAGUGAGCAAUCUAUAACCCACCAAUUCAAUAAAAAUUCAACAGCAUGACAUGGCAAUUUUAUCAUUAUCCAGCCUAUCAAGGCAAACAACAGUUUAUACAUUUUCAACACAAAUACCCAUCCAGCCAUUCAUGCCCACAUUAUCAUAAGCCAUUCAAUUCAAAACAUAAUUUACAAUACAGCAAGUAGUCUUCAAUUACUCCAUUUUCAAGUCAUCAUUAAAUUUCAAAACAAUUUAUAAAAUCAUUUCAUUUAAACACAUUUUCCAUAAAAUUACAAAAUCAGAUAAAAACAUACUUUAGAUAAUUAAGACGAUAAUAAGGUUACUCACUGUAAUGGAAAUUAAGUUUCGAGUACUCCGAUUCUUGAUCCUCGGGUACUAUCUCUUUACUUUUGCCAGAAAGCUCACCACCUAGACAUAAUGCACAAUAAGCCAUUUACUACAUUUGUGCUAAACUGUUAUAAAACUAAUUCAGGCUCUACACUAAUGCAUAAAAUGGGAUGUGAAAUGCUCAGGUAACCAUCUAAAUACGACGUUCAAUAUAAGUUCAAUUGUGUACCUAAAUAAAAUGAUAUUGGCCUAAUUCAAUCUAUCACCCGAUUAAUUGGCCAAUACGUCCAAUUCAACUCCAAAUAAUUCCAUUUCUCUGCCAAUACUCCAAAUCAUCAAACACAAAUUAAAUAACUUGAAAUAUGGUAAAAUCAUCCUCACAUUUUCUCUUGGAAAAAUUCAGCCAUGGAGGUUCUUGAGGGGUAUACGGUUUUUCAUGCUAAACAUUACCAUUUUCGGUUUCCACCACCACAAUUCAUUAAAUUCUAACUAAAUAACAUAAGACAUCACAAGAUUCAUCUUUCAAUAUUUUCUUUAUGAAAUUCGGCCAAUGAAGAAUCCAUGAAGAAUAUGUGAUUUUUCUUACUUAUUUUCCUUCCAAACAUGAUAAAUAAACUAAAAACACUAAAAUAUCUCAAAAUCUAACCAAAUGAAUCAUCAAAUCUUCUCUCUCUAAAUUUGGUCAGCCAUGAAUCCUUCAUGAUAUCUUGUGAUUCAACCAUGGAAAUGUAUAGGAAAGAUAGAUCACAAGCUAGAGUUAAGAAAUUUCACCUUGGAUGUCUUGAUUCCUUGAAAUCUAGUGAUUUUCCCUUGAAUUUCUUAGCUAAGGUUUUGUUCUUCUUCUUCUCUUCCUUUUUCUUCCUUUGGCCGACCAAGAGAAAUGAGUUGGGAGGGUUAUGCACUGAUUUUUAAAGCCAAAUAAUAAAAUAAUCAAGCUUGACACUUGUCACCAUGUUAUUGGUCCAUGAUUAAAAACUUAAUAAUUAAGCUUUCUUCCACCACCACAUAAAACCCUUCAAUUAUCCAUGAUAUAAAAUGCUAAUGGAUGAAAUCCAUGGGCAUGACAAGUGUUGAGCAGUGUAAAAUUACAAUUUUGCCCCUAGGGUGGCAAAAUAACUAUUUUGCCUUUAUCCUUGAAAAAACAUCGAAAUUAAAAUUCUUCACUUCUCAAACUCAAAUUAUACUCCAAAUGAUCAAUCUUAGUCAAAAAUUUCAUCCAACACUCACAUCUUAUCCUCGGGUGGCAAAAUGACCAUUUUACCCCUACAUCAUAAAAAUUCUAAUUUGACUCCAAAUUGGUCCUCAAACUCUGAAUCACCAUUUUAAGUCAUGCUAGGGUCUUAAAAUUCUCAAUUUCAUCUUAAAAUCUCUAUAUGGACUAGUUCGAGGCUUAAUUCUACUGAAUUGUACCAUUUGGUACAUUGUCGUCCUUUAACGAUUUUCGAGGUACCUAAGUAAGCAAACAUGCAUUCUUAUGUAGGAAUGGCAUAAUAAACAUAUUGUAGAGCCGGGCUUGACAUGCACAAACUCUUAAUUUUUUUUAGUAAGCUUACUCUUGAAAUUUUGGAAAUUUGGAAAUUUUGAACAUGUAUUGCUUUGUCUUGGAACAAGAUGCCGUCUAAAACGAGAAUUGCCUUAAGGGUAUUGAGAGAGUAAAAUGCUUGGGAUGAGCCUAUGGAACCACCAUCAAUGUCCACGUCAAAAUGUGUGGUUGAAAUAUAGUAGUGAAACAUGCUCAAAAUGUAAAACCCAAUUAGAUGUACAUUGGUGAUGAGAAUGUGGUAGUUGGGAAUUACUACCUUAUAGGAUGAGGUGUCACCCUAAAAGAUUUGGCAGCAAGGUUGUAAAUUUUGGCUCUUGAGUUUGUUGAGUUCUGUAAUAGAAGUGAGGCACAAUCAGAGGAAUGAGUUGAUUCUAGUUCACUAGAUGCAGACUACGAGCCUUAAUACAAAUAUCAAUGAGGGGUUAUUAAGGUUAUUUUGGUAGAUUUUAUGAAGUUAAAGCCUUCGUCUUUUACUGAUACAAAUGUAGAGGAAGAUCCAUAAAGAUUUUAGGAAGAUAUGGGAUGUAUUUGUUCAGCUUUAUGAUUUUCCACACCUAGCUUAGUGGAAUUUGUUGGAUUUAGACGAAAGGACAUUGCCAGGAUAUGGUUUAUUUCACUCAAGAGGGGUAGAUCAUCUAAUUCAGCCCAUAUGACAUGGAAAGAGUUUGUCCAAGCUUUUCUAGAUCACUUCUUGCCUAGGAGCAUGUGAGACACUAAGGCACAAGAGUUUGAGACAUUGAUACAAACCCCAAACAUGACAGUGACAAAGUAUGAUGUUUGUUUCACCCAAUCAUCGAGAUACGCUCCUUACUUGGUCCUAACUAAGCAAAAGAGGAUGAAAAGAUUUAUUCAAGGAUUAAUUGUGUCGUUAUUUAGAGUCCUUGCCUCUUAGAGAUUUGCCUUCUAUGCGGCAGUGGUGGAUGUAGCUAGAACGUUUGAAACUAAGAGAAUGAAAUCCAAAUUGGAAAGAGGUAGUGGUUGAAAGGCUUUAGACAUAGAGCCAAUAGAGCCGUAGAGAUUCUAGAGUGACUAAGAGUCCCACAUUCAUACACCUUUAGAGUCAUGAGGGAACCACUAUUACAUAUAGGCCACCAAGGAACAGUGAUUUGUUUAUACCACUUCUAAAUGAGAGCAAUCUAGUGGAGCAUCUAAUUUAGGCCUUAGGUAGAAGGUGUUUUGUGUAGUUAUUGUGGAAAGAGGCAUGGUGGACUGUGCUGAAAAGUAGUUUGGUUAUGUUUUAGACAUGGCCAAUCUAGGCAUUUGAUGAGAGAUUGCCCAAUGCAGAGGCAAUCAAUAAAGGUUGAUCAUGGAUAUGGGAAACAAAUGUCAAAUACUCUGCCUAGAACGACAUCGAUUGGCAAGAAUGUUAGAGGUGAUAAAGGCAAGGGUGUAGCCUCAUCAUCACGAGGUAGAUCGACACAAUUGGAUAAUGAUGGAAGAGGUCAAGCAUGGGUGUUCACUUUAACACUGCAAAAUGCUCAAACUUCUAAUGUAGUGGUCACAAGUACACUUUUUAUUUGUGGUACCAAAGCUUUGGUUUUAUUUGAUCUCGGAUCCACACAUUCCUUUGUGUCCCACACUUUGUGCAAAAGUUGGAUAAGUUUUGUAACAGUAUGGAUAAACCCCUGAUUGUGACUACUCCCUUAGAGGAGAUAUUUGUGGUAGAAUAUGAGCAUAAGUCUUGUGUCGUCCGUACUAAGGACAAGGACAUGUUAGAGGACUUAGUGUUUCUACUAACUAUGGACUUUGAUGCGCUAUUGGGAAUGGACUAGAAUCCUACUUUGCUAAGGUAGAUUGCUACCAUAAACUUUUGAAGUUUAAGUUUCAAGAGGAAUCCUCAUUUGUGGUUUAUGGGCAUGAUAGCCCAAUAUGAAUAGAGGUUAUGUCGAGUAUGGCAACUAGACAAAUGCUAAGGCAAAAAGGCCUAGGUAAGAGAUCCGUCAAUAGAUGGUGAGAUUAUGGAUUAUGUACCGUACUAGGUGAGUAUUCGGAUAUGUUUCCAGAUGAACUACUUGGAUUGCCUCUCGAGAGAGAGACUAAAUUUUGUAUCAAUUUGAUUCUUGAUACAAAGGCAAUUUCUAUACCUCUUUAUCAAAAGGCACCAGUAGAAUUAAAAGAGCUUAAGGAGCAAUUGGAGGAUUUGUUGAACAAAGACUUCAUACGCCCAAGCAUUAAGCCUAAGGGAGCUUUGGUGCUAUUUGUCAAGAAGAAGGAUGGAAGCCUUCAAGUUAUGCAUAGACUACUGACAACUAAAUAAAGUGACAAUAAAGAAUAAAUAUCCACUUUGAGGAUUGAUGAUUUGUUUGACCAGUUGCACGUUGUUUUGUGCUUUUCUAAGAUUGAUCUACACUCUGGGUAUCACCAGUUAAGAAUACAAGAAAAUGAUAUACCUAAGCCAGUUUUUGCACAUGUAUGAGCAUUAUGAAUUUUUAGUUAUGUCAUUUGGACUCACUAAUGCCCCUGUAGUAUUUAUAGAUUUAAUGAAUAGAUUGUUCUAGGCAUUUUUAGAUAAAUUUGUGGUUAUGUUCAUAGACAACAUAUUGGUGUAUUCUAAGAGCCUAGAGGAACAUGCACAACAUUUGAGAAUCAUGUUCCAUACGCUAAAGAGCAUAAAUUAUAUGCUAAAUUUUUGAAAUGUGAGUUUUGGCUAAAUAAAGUCAGUUUCUUGGGACAUACUGUGUCUGAACAAAGGGUGCAAGUGGAUCCCAAUAAGGUAGAAGUAGUGGAGAAUUAGCCAAGGCCGACAUCUGUGAUAGAAGUUAGAAGUUUUUUGUGUUUAGCUGGGAAUUACAGAUGUUUUAUACAAAAAUUUUCUAAGAAUGCAUCCCUUUUGAGAAUAUUGCCUCAAAAAAGAGUCAGGUUUGAUUGGUCUAAUGCAUGUGAGGAUUGAUCCGCAAUCUUUCUUACUUUUUUUGUUCCUUGUUAGCUUUAAUGCUCUUUUUUUUUCAGAAAAUCCUUACUUUAUUGUUGUCUUUUCGUGCUUCUCAAAGGGGAAUUAAAUGAGGCUUGAGUCUAAUGCCAACUAGAAGUUAGAUAGCUCUCAAAGUCUUUUUUCUUCAUUGGGCGUUGUGCCCGUCCUUGCUUAGGAGUCGCGGUGAUAAACAACAUAUAUAUAUAUUUUUUAAUGUCUUCCAUUGGGCGUCGUGGUGUUGGGUGCGUUGGUGCCAUGGUGCUGAGGCUCAAUCACGCCUUGAGGCCUCUUUCCCAAUUGGGGUGCCACAAUGCUGAUCCCGUGGAGGCCAUUGUGUUUAAAGCUCUUUCUUAAUCAUUCAGACUCUACUACAUUACUUCAACUUCAACAUAAGUGUCACCACUUCUGUGCUGAAAUGGGCAAAGUGUUAAACAUGAAAGUUGUAUCUCCAUUUCUUAACUUUCUAAUGGUUCAUGAAUUAUGUUAAUUGGGCUUUUUUAGUAAAAGAUAUGAUCAAAAUACCAAAACAUGUGUAGAUGAAGUUUGCACCUCACAUGUAUCUCCUUCACUAAACAAGCCCUCUUUUCAAAACAUAGCUAUAAAACAAAAACUUGACUUAAACUAUAACUAAACAAAAAAAAAACAUCGUAAAAUAACUUAACACAAUUGAACCCAAUAUAAUUAAAUUGAAUAAAAUAGAUGGCGAAAAACUCCUAAUGCUUAAAUUAAAUCUCAAGAACUUAGAUAAAAUAUAGUAGAAAUUAAAACCAAAUAACUUUAUAAAAUAGAGUUAUCAAUGGAUCGUACCCAUGUAGGUCCAUGCAUCAAUCAUGUUACAGAAAUGGGAUGUGACAAUGUGGGUAUCGCCCACUAGACCCUAGUAAGUUACUUUACAUUACUCAAUCAUAAAUCAAUCACAUAUAGCUCAUUUGUCAUCAUUAUCAUCAUGCAUGCAUAAAGUAUUAGUCAUCAUAAAUAGAAACAUUUAUGCAUAACUGCAAACACAUGAUUACAGACUUCUCAACAUAAGCUGUGAAUACAAUUUUCAUUCACAAUUACUUGUACCCAGUACAAUUCAUAAAAAUUCUAGAAAUACACCUCAAGUGCUCAUAUGGGCUCACACACCAUCAUUUUUAACAUUCACAUAUAUGCGUAUAAGUAACUUGCCAUUCAAUGGCUUAGCAUCUCCAUGAGUGGAUAUGGGAAGGGGACAAAUUGAAGGGUUAGAGCUUUUGCAUAAAUACAUCCUUUAAGUAUCAUGCACAUAUAAACCUUUAAAUACACAUUUAAUGAACUUAUAAAAGAAUAGUCUUGCCUUUGAAGAAGUUUCAUAAAUCCAUUGAAAAUGAAUAUCAAACCUUUAAAUCAAUGAAUAGCAACUUUAACAAACAUUGAAAAUAACUUUCAUAGAUUUUGAAUGCCCAUAAUUCUUUAAAACCCCAUUUGAAAGUAAAAUCGUUGCAUGGCAUCCAAAAGGGUUAACUUGUCACCACCCAAACCAAGGGGCCAUGACUAGUGCAAGAGUCUAGUAGGUAGGGCUCACAAUGAAAGGGAUUCAAAUUAGGCUCAAGCAGAUCAUGCGCACUAGAAUAUUAAAAUUUUAAUCCCUUAAGCCAUGGAUCACUUUAAUGGAAACUAAUCUAGAAAAACCAUAAAAGAAAGAUUUUGACAUACUUGAAAGUUUGAUGUCAACUUUAUUUGGUGGAGUCCUCCUUGGGUUUUUGUUUUUGACUUUUGUACACCAACUAAGACUUAUCAAACUAUAGCAACACAAUUGUCUUGCCUCUAAUAGUGAUCCACAUAAUCAUUUGCAAAAAUCUCUUCACUGAGAGUGUGUGAAUUCCUAAGCCAAAGUUUGUGCGAGCAAACUCUCAACUUUGAGCUCCUUUGUGUUUCUCUCUUUUUAGUUGUGAUCUAUCUCAACACAUGAGAAAAUAAAAACAUAACUCUUUUAUAUGUUUAAGAGGUGGCUAAAGGAUUCUUUUAUAGAGUGAAUUGACCUACUUUAUAUCUAACAAGGAUUAGAAAAUGUCUUAGGCUAAUUGGGCUUUUAAUUAAUAUUCCAUCAAAUCAUCUUUGAUUUAGCUCAAUACUUUAUCAGAUUAGGCCUAUAUAAAAUCAAUUAGAUCACAUCCAAUUGAACUCAAAUUAUUUUCAACAAUUCACCUUAUGUGUGUGACCUAUUAAGUGCCCAAUAUGUUGGCAAUAAAUAUAAAUUAAUUCAAUUAAAAAUUUAAAUUUAUAUUUAUAGAUUAUGAGCAGUAUCUAGCAAUACAUCAUGACCACCCAAAUGUCAAGAGAGUCAAUAUGAUUUGACUAACCUUUUAGUGUACACUACUUAAGUGUAGUUCAGUCCUUUCAUCAUAUAUCUCGUAUAGAUAGAAAGCUUAGCUUGAUGUCUACUUUCCAAUUAAUCCAUAUUAGUUAUACAGUUGCCAUAUUGACUUAUCGAGAUUGCCUUGGCCAAGGACUUUUAGUCAAUAUAAGCCAAGAGCAAAUGAGAUCCCCUUCAAAUCACUUGGGGUGAUGAAUCCUCUCUAAACUACUCAUUCAUCUGUGCAUGCUUCAUGCCAUAAACAAAGACACCUUGUUUAGGCAUCUAGUUGUCUGCAGACUUGUAGGGAUGAAAUUAAAGCAUGAUAAUUCACAUACAAUAUGAUCUAGUAUCACAAUUCACAUACAACAUUUGAGUAUUUCAUUAAACACUUAAGUGAAAUACCGAAUGAAAGUCUUGUAACGAUCAUGUUCAGUAAACUUGUUCCUUAACAAGCACCCACUCACUAUCCUCAAGUAUCUCACAUACUUUAACCUAUGAGAUCGAUUGCUUACUUCAAAAGUAAAGAGGCCUACCAUGUACCAAUUUUUUAGCAUUUUUGUGAAAUCUCACCCUAAUGUCAGAUUUCUUAGUUAGCAAAUCCUUAGAUGAGCAAGUUAAAUUGUGUUUUACGCACUUGAAAUUUUGUUUUAUAAUUAGAAAAUUUCAUGUUUAAAUGUUUUCAAAUGAUAUACAUAGUUUGGUUUGAUAUCAAGUCCAAUUCAACAAGGUUUUGACUUGAUUUUUAGCUAUUGGAGCUUAUCUAUGGAUAGAUGUUGAUAACUCUAUUAUAUAGAGUUAUUUUGACACAUUUUGGGGGCUUAAGUAGUUAAAUCUUUGAGAUUUUAGGUUCAAAUCCUAAUAUUUUAAGUGUUUGUCUAGUUUAAGUUUGAUUACAUGUUGAGUUGUUAAUUUAAGCUAUUUUAGCUAAAUUUUACGUUAUUUUGUUUUAAAGUACUUUAAGAGUAGUAUUGGUAAUUUCUUUUAUUGCUUUUGUAGGAAAUUUGAUGAAAAUUCAUGCAAGCAUGACAAUUGCUUCAUUCAUAUAUAUUGCGGUAUUUUGACUAUAUCUAUCCAUACAAAACUCCAAAUGAAGUGAUUCUUAGACCACUAGACUUCUAAGAGGAAGGUCUAGAACUUUUAUGUUUACCACUUUACCAGUUCAGAUUGUAUAAUGGUCAAAAUAUUUGUCUAAGUUGGAGCACUACAGCAAUAUGCAGGGACUGAACAUGAUGCAGAAUUUGGAGCAUAUCUUUCAAUCCAAAAGUCCAAUUACAUUAUUCUUAAGCUAUUGGAAAGUUAAAAGAUGGGCCUACAACUUUUCUGUUUAUCACUUCUCCCAGUUUGGAUGAGAUUAGGGUGAAUAUCAUGUUCGAAUUUGAUAAACCAUCGUCGCACUGGGAGAACACGACUGUAGCAUUGGUGAAAGAAAGCUCACCAUACAAAUUUCUUAAGAGCUCAGUGCUACAGUGCUAGUAUAGCAAAAAUCCAGUGCCACAGUGUUAAGAAAUCAAGGCCGAGGCACUUAGCGAUUUUCCAAAAAUAAAAAUUUGAUUGGAUUUUGGAAAUUAGGUUACUUGAAGCCUAUUUAAGGGACCUUUUUCAAAGGUUUUAAAGGGGAGGCAGAAACCAACUAUUAUGGAGAUUUGGAUCCAAGAACAAAGCAAGAAAACAAAAGAAUUUGAGAGGGAAUUGAGAUCAUAAAGCUUCAAUAAUUAGUUUCUUUCUCUACUUUUGUGUUUUUUUUUUCUUUAACUUGGAUUCAUGGCUAAAUUUCUUUGGAUGUUGUUUUUAUUAGUUAUUAUGAGCUAAACUAUAUUUCUAGUAUUGUGGUGGAUUUCAACAUGCAAUUUGAAUAUUAUUUUCUCUUUUAUUUUUCAUGAAUGGGUGUAGUUUUGCUUAUUUAAAUAUGUUCUUCAUGCUUUUCAUUGUUUGACCAACAAUUAACUGAUUUGUGAAUCUAAUUGAGACUCGACAAAGAGAUUUUAGAUUGAACUAAGGUAUGACUGGUGUAUGUUCACGUCACUUAGGUGAUCUGAUUUACGAUUCGGGUAGACAUGUGCCAAUUGCCAUACAUAGCCACAUUAGGACACUUGCUUAAUGAACUUAAUUUAAUUGAUUCCUAUAGACAUAUAAUGAACUAAUUAAGUUAGGUAUUUGUACAAGCAACUCGACGGAGACUUGUCCAUAGCUUUGGAUUCUAGGUUAGUAAAACCACAUAAGAAAAAAAAUAACAAGAAAAGCUGGUAUCAAAUGAAAUGUUGAAUGAACCCAUAAUCCUAGGUCUUUAAUAUACUGCUUUUCUCAACUUAUCUAGUUUGUUAGUUAAUUUAGUCUUUAUUUUAAUUUUGUUUUAAUUAAGUUUUUGCAAAUUUUGAUUACUUAAAUAAGAUUGAUUUUUUAUAAGAUUUUAGUACUUAGUAAAAAUUUAGGAACAAAUUUCUGUGGGAACGAUACUCUACUUCAUCACUAUAUUACUAGUUCGAUAUGUAUACUUACAUGUGCAAAAUCGACAACAGAUGUCUAUCAAUAGAUUUUUUUUGUUUGAAUCUAGAAAUGAUUUGGAUGAAUAUCUAUCGAUAGAUAUUCAUCAUCUAUAGAUAUAUGAGUGACAUCUAUCGACAGAUAGAAAUCUAAGAACUUUUUAAAAUGGUUUUGAAGCUAAUCUAUCAAUAGAUGCGCUCGAUCUAUCGAUAGAUGACACUGUUUUUAGAAAACUAAUAGGGACAAAAUGGCAUUUUUCUCAUGUAAAACUAUAACUAUGGCACAUUAUUCGAGGGUUAGCAACCUUCAGUAGUAGUUUUACAAGGCAAACCUCUUCUAAAACCCUUUUAACUCAUUUUUGAAAAAAAAUCAUUCCUUUUAAUAAUUCUAAGCUUUGUUUUAAGACUUAACGAUAAAAAUGACAUUUUUAAGCUUUGAAACCCAAAAGCUGAAAAUGACAUUCUAGAAAUUUUGUUUCUUGCUCUAGAAAUUCUAUUGGAGGAUUAAAGUUAAAGGUUUUAUGAUUUUUCAAGUUAUCGAAGCUCAUCUAAGGUAAGAGUAAAAGAUUUACUGAUUGUAGAAUGGGUUUAGUAAGAGAAAAUAGACUUAGUCAAUAGCGAAUAACUUUCGAAAGCUCUUAGAAUGAUUAUUUCGAGGUUGUUAGGCUAUAAAUUAAUUGAUAUGAUUAUAGUGUGAUAGGAACAAUCGUAAAGUCUAAGGAAAUCACCGGAGAUAGGUUAUGAUUGAGUUUUUGAUCGAGGUGAGUGGACAUAACACUUUAAAAACUAGUUUGACAAGUAAAGUUGAAGCAUGAUUUGAGAAAUUUCAAUAAGUAUGAUUUUCUAUAAAUACAUGUGAAUUGAAAAAUAAUUUUGGAUGAGAAAAAUAUUUUGAAAUUUUCUUUCAAUCUACUAUGUAUAUAAAUAUUCUAUUAGGUAUUAGUUCUCAGCAAUGGGGGACAAGCACCUUGUUGUUUGAAGCACUCAAUCACUCUAGUCUUCUAACUAGUAUGGGUACAGGAUAUGAUUAAUGCAUAUGCUAAAUAUGUUUAGACAUGAAACAUGUGAUGGAUUGCAUGAUGAUUUUGUUGGUAUAUGCCCAUGAGCCAAUCGGAUUAGUCAAGGAAUAUAUAAUGUCAUUUAAUGCAUACUUAAUCACAUAACUACAUGUGAUAGAGGCUUUCCUUCAUGCUAGUGCAAUAAUAAGGAGUUAUUAAGUACGAAUUAGAUGAAACCCAUUGAACCUAAAGGCCUUGCAAGAGAAUUGUAAAGUUCUUACAAUUAUGAGAUCACUAUGCAUCAAAGCCAUGUUCCUAAAAUUGUUCCUGUUUAUUCUUUUGUAAAGAUAGGACAUCGACAAUGCUCAAAGACUAGUACAUUUUAAGCCUCCUUACUUAGGAAGUAAGCAAUCGAUCUCAUAGAUUGAAGUAUAUGGGAUACUUGAGGAUAACAUAUGGGUGCUCGUUAAAGAACAAGUUCACUAAACAUGAACUACAAUGAGAACUCCAUUUGGUAUUUCACUCAAGUGUCUAUGGAAUAUGUUCUCAUGUCAUAGUCGUCAACUAGUGCUCAAACUUGAGACAUUAGGUCAUCUUGUGUGGGGAAUGAUAUACUUUGAUUUCACCUCUACGAGUCUAGAGGCGACCAGAUACCUAAACAGGGUGUUUUUGGGUAUGCCAUGAAGCAUGAGAAAGCAUUGAGUGGUCAAGAGAGAAUUCAUUAUCCCAAGUGAUAUGAGGGGAUGUAUCUCACUUGUUCUCAAUUCUUGAUUAACUUGUAUAAAGUCUUUGGCCAAGCAUUAUGAAUUUGAAGAAAGCUAGUUUCCUAAAUUCAUAAAGUUAGUCAUAAAUUAUGAGAACUAAUAUGGAAUGUUAUAAGUAGACACUAGGCCAUGCUUUUCAACAUAUCUGAGAUAUUUGAUGAAAGGACCGUAUUGCACUGAGAGGCUUAUCACUGAAGGGCUUUAUCAAAUUCUUUGAUUGGCUUUUUAAUAUUUAGAUGGUCAUGAUGUAUUGCUAGAUACCACUCAUGAUCUAUAAAUAUAAAUCAAUUAUUAAAUUGAUAUUUGAUUAGGAUUUAUAUUUAUUGCCAACAUGUUAGAAGCCUAAUGGGUCACACACAUUAAGUGACAUGAUUGAGAUUAAAUAAGGCUGAUCAAUUAAGAUGGACUUAAUUAGAAUAGACCAAAAUAAAGUAAAAAAUUAAUAAAGUUCACAAAGACUUAAUUAAAUUAAAGUACAACUGUUGUAUCUAGGGUUACAACUUAGUUUGGCUAUGUAAAUAUGUUAUAAACUAAAACUCUAAGCCUCUAGCCACUCCUUAGUCAUUUCUUAAAAUUAGAAAAGAAAAAAAUAGUUUUCUUUAUAUAACAAAAAUAAGAUUCAACAAAAAAUUUGGUCUUUUUGUUUUAGAAACAAAACUUGCUAACACAAGUAAAAUCUUACCUUUGAAAAGGUCUUAUUUAGUCAUUGUGUGGAUUACUGUUAAAAGCCAAACUCUUGGGUGGCUAAGGAUUUAACAAAUCCUAAAGGUGUAGAAGCAAAGAUUUCAAUUACAAGAUUUUAGACUAUCUUAUUCUUUUUCAAGUUUCUUGCUUAAUCACAAACCUUUUGGAUUUAAAGCUCUUGAUUAGAAUAUCUAGAGUAAGGUAUGUAACUCUUGAAAUUAUUAAUAUUCAUAAUUAAUUUGAAAAUUACAUGAAAAAUAAAAACAUUAAUUUUGUAGGAUUUGGUUGUUUCUUUGAUUAAAUGUUAGUUUAUUAUUCCAUUGCAUUAUAUAUUUUAAUUUCUUGAUUAUUUUCAUAUUUGAGCAUGAGGUCAAAUCCCAACAGUGGUAUCAGAGCCUUGUUUGAGGUUUUCAUAUAAUAUGCAUGCUUCAUUCUUGUGAUAAUCAAUAUGAUUGAUUUGUGUGUUGAUUUGGUGUAUAUCAAUUUUGAAGCCUUUAACAGUAUUUUAAUUGAUUUGAUGUUUUUCAAUAUGAUUUAUCUGUUUUUCUAUUUUAAUUCAAAUCUGAACAGCAUGUAAUUAACUCAUUAAAACAUGUUUUAAAAUGUUUAAAAUCAUGUUUAGUUGAAGAAUUAAUAAUUGGAUUAAAAAGCUUGCAAAGCAGAGUUGAAAUCGGAUAGUUUUGAGAUGUUUUGAAGAUUAAUGUGCCAAUUAUAUUUUUAGUAACAUUGGGUAAGUGUUAUGAGUAGUUUUUAAUUGUUAAAAAUUAGUUUUAUCAAAUUAAAUUACUGCAUGUUUCGGCCAAACUUGAUUUAGUAGCUUUUUGUUCAUAAAAAUCAUGUUUUCGAGUUCGAAAACAACAAAGAUUCAAUGUAUUAAAUUUUGGGUACCUAUGAUCGGUUUUGGUGGCUUAAUUCUUCAUGAAUUUUAUGUUUAAUUGUUAAACACACUUAUUGGAAAUUUCCAGUAGCUUUUUCAUGAGUUUGACUCAUAAUUUAUGGAGUUUGAAGAGCACUUAAAUGCCAUCUAUUUUAAUUGUGGGUGAGUCAUAAAAAAAUAGGAAAUUAUUUCCUACUUUAAUAGAUAAUCCUUAAAUUACGAAUAAUAUUUUCAUUUGGAAAAUUCAUAGGAAAUAGUUUCCUACUUUAAAAGAAUUUCCUAAAGUUCUGUGGUAGCAUUGAACUUUCCUUAAAAUUUUGGUUUAACUAGAAGUUUCCAAAAUUUGUUAAGUCACCAUUUAGGUAAUUUGAACAGCAUACAAGUUAGGAAAUUAAUCCAUGUUCUAAAUGUUAGAAAUUAAAAUGUUGAGUUAGAUAUAUUUCAGGAAGUUUACCUAAAAUAAAGAGGUUUCCAAAAUUAAAAGGAGUUUUAAUUAUGGAAAGAAUGAAAAUGGAAUGUCUUAAAAAAGGAAAAUUUUAUUUCAAUGAAUUUCUAAUAUGAAAUAAGAAGUAAAAGGUUUACUCUAAGUGCUUUGAAAAUGGAAAUUUCUUAAGCACUAAAUUGAAAUAAAACAAUACCAAAUAAUUUGAGUUGGCACUUUAAGUGAAUUAAUUGAUGUUUUUCUCAAAUAACACACAAGAUCACCAAGUGAUAUUGAGCUUGCAAUUAAUUCUAUGCUUUUGAUUAUGAUUAUAAAGCAUGAGGAUGAUUAUAGACUUAGACCUUAGAAGAUUAGGUCAUGGAUGAUUAAAUUUAUUUCUUAUGUUAUUUAUUUUAAAAUAGGGUCUGCGCACCCUGCCUUAUUUCUAUGUUCUCUUAGGUUGUAAAAUUCUUUUCUCACCUAACUCCCUUCGAAUGUUACUCAAGGUUUCUUGAUUAUAGAAUGUAAUUAGUUACAUCAAAGUGUAAAACUAGGGUUAGAUAGAAAAAUUUUUGUAACUUGAAGAUUGAGAUUUGAACGUGCCAUGGAGAUUUAAGGAAAUUACAAGCAAAGCUUGAAGACAUGAUUGCAAAAUACUUUAGGAAUUUGAACAACUAAUUUCCUUAAUGGCUCGAGAAAAUUAGAAUUAGUAAAAUCCAUAAUCGUCCUAGCAGUUGGCAUAAGAUAGAUUUAUUUUUCAGUAUAUAUAUAUGAUAUAUGUGAGAUGCGAUUAAUGUUAUGCAUGUCAACAACGUCGAAUCAAUGAGACCUUAAUUAAUAAGUUAAUAAAGAAGAAUCCCUCAUUAAUACAUUGAGUCAAAAAGUUACCUUCCACCAUAUCACAAGAUAACUAGGCUGCUCUUUUAAUUGGAAGCUUGUUGUUACGACCCAGUACUCUCCUCGAGCCCGUGACAACCGUUGCGAUGUCUCGAUACACAUUCAUUACCCUAAAUGCCAAUCGAAACCUCGCAAAGCUUAAUAUCAGUUUUCGCACCUCCCCUGUGAGCAAUAAUUACUAAAUAUCAUAAUUUAAAAGAUUAUAAGCUCUUUCCAAAUCAAAACAAUAAUAAAAAAUUUUUUUUGUCUCACAAGGGCAUUUUGGUCAUUUUUUCUAAAAUUUUUGAAACUUGCUGAAAAUAUAAUAUAUAGGGGAAAAUACACAUUUCAUAACUAAAAACAAGUUUUUAUGUCUAAAACAUUCAUUUAGGGUGAAAUUGUAGCUAAUAGAAUAAAAUAUAAAUAUUAAAUGAAAUAUUCCAUUUUCUUAUAAAAUAAUAUUUAUAGAACUCUACGUAAAUAAUUUUUGUAGCGUAAAAGCAAAAUAAAUCCAUACAUACAGUAAUACAGAUAACCAGAGUAUGUAAUUUAAUUUAUAAUGACGUGUGGGCCCUAAAAUGACCAAAGGUAACAAAGGCUGUGGACCUACAAUUUCUGAGGAGACAAGUCCAAUAAUAACCCUCGAUGUAAUCAGCUAUUUACGGACUAUCCUAAUCCUGGAAUGACUGAAAAAGAAGGUGGUGAGUUUAUAUAAACUCAGUGAGUAAACAAACAUCAUCUAAAAUAUCUAAAGUCAAGUAAAUGGAGACAACUUAAAAUAGUUCAUCGUACUAUGAUUAAUAACAUUUAAAACUCAUUUCAACUAAAUAAAAUAAUUUCAUUUCACUCAAAUAAUCAACAUGGCUUGUGAAUUUCUUAAAAAUUUGGCUCGUGCCAAAAAUUAAUACUCGAUGAUGCCUUACAUCAAGGCAUCCAACCGAGUCCGCCAAGGCUGUUAAGGAAAAGUUCAUAUACGCAUAAAACGCAUUUUUACGUUUAAAAGCAUAGUCGUUCCUUGGCAUUGGCUAAGUUCACCCUCACGUGGUGAUUUAGCGUGUAGUGAACUUUAAAGUUUUACCUCACGAGCUACCCUCUGCGCCUCUCGUACUAAGGUAAAUAUAACGGGGUUUACCGUACCCCUCUAAUAGGUUGGUCCACGAAAACCCGCCCACUGCAGUAAGCUAAAUACAUAACCCACCAAAUCAAUAACAUUUCGGCAGCAUAACAUGGCUAAUAUAAUACUAUCCAGCCUAUUAAGGCAGAACAAAUAAUUCAUACAAUUUCAACACAAUUUCCAAUUCAACCAUUCAUGCCAAUAUCACCAUAAGCCAUUCAAUUCAAACCAUAAAUUUACAACACAAUCAAACAGUCUCCAAUUACUCAAUUUCUAAAAUGAUCAUUCAAUUUCAAAAUGAUUUCUAAAACUCAUUUCAUUUAAUCACAUUUUACUUAUAAAACAUAAGGAUUUACCAUUUAAACUCAUUUUUCUAUAAAUCACAAAAAUGAAUAAAAACUACUUUAGAUAAUUUAGACGAUAAUAAGGUUAUUCAUGAUAUCAGGAGUUCGAAAUACUCCUAUUCUUGGUCCUCUGGCACAAUGUCUUUACCCUUUUUAGAAGACUCGCCACCUAUACACAAUACAUGACAAAUAAUUCAAUAUAUUGUGUCAUGUCAUUAUAAAUCUAUUUCAGGCUCUAUAUGAAUGCAUGAGGUUGCUUGGAUAGUCACUUAAAGACGGUGUUACACGUUGGUUCAAUUAUGAUCGGAAUGGAUCAUUUUUCGACCUAAUUCGAACUCUCCACCUUUGAUUUAACCAAAAGAUCCAAAUUGACUCUAGUUAUAUUCAUCACACUCCAAUGUCCCAAAGUACACCAAAACGCCUCAAUGAGCUUGACUUUCUCAUUGUUAUUCAACUUAUUUACUAAAAGAACUAUACUUUAAAAUUAUCAUUUUCAAUUUCCAUCACCACCAUUCAUUAAAUUCUAACUAAAUAACACAAGAUAUCACAAGAAUCAUCAUCACUAGGUUCCUUAUGAAAUUCGGCCAAGGUGGGUGCAUAAACACUAUGGUUUUUCAUACUUGAUUUUUUUAUACCAUAAUCAUUAGUUCCUAACCAAAUCACUUGAAAUAAAAUCAAAUCCACCAUCAAUAUACCAUAAGGAAGAUUCGGCCAAUGAGGGUGAUGGAAGAACAUGAAUUUUUCUUGUUUACUUUUCAUGCUACACAUCACCAACCAACUAAAAACACUAGAAUAACAUGUUUUCCAACUAAAUUCAUCAUCAAAUCUUCUCCCCCUAGGUUUGGCCAACAAGGGAUACAUUAUGAAAUCAUGAAUUUCAACCAUGUAAAAUGAGAAAGAAUGCGUAGGAAAGAUAGAUCUCAAGCUAAAAUUGAACAAUCUUACCUUUUGUCACUUGAUUCCUUGAAAUUCCAAAUUUUUCUCUUGAAUUUUUCUAACUAGGGUUUUGUUCUUUCUUUCUUUCCUCUUUUCCUUGGUGAGGUCGAACAUAUAGGAGUGAAAUGGGAGAGCCAUGUGUUGAUUUUUACUGUAAAUUAUAAAAAAAUGAAAGCUUGCCACUUGUCACCAUUCCAUUGGUCCAUGUUUAACACUUAACAACUACGCUUUCUUUCUCCACCACAUAAAAUAUCUCAAUUAUCCAUAAUGUCACGACCCGAAACUCCCAUCGAGCCCGUGACAACCGUCGCGAAGUCCCGAUAGGCACUCAUUACCCCAAAUGCCGAUCGAAACCCCGCAAGGCUUAGCAUCAGCUUCUGCAUCUCCUCAGUGAGCGACAGUUAUUAAAUCUCACAUUUCAAAAAAAAUCAUAAGUCAUUUCCAAAUCAAAACAAUAAAAUAUUACUUUCUGGCUCACAGGGGCAUUUUCGUCAUUUUUCUUCAAAAAUACCAAAACUCACCAAAAACAUGGUGUAAAAGCUAAAUAUAUUCAUACAUAUUUUAAAUUAAAUAAUUGAAGAAUAAAAUUACUUUUAUAGUGACACGUGGGCCCCCAACAGACUAAGAAGAUGUAGGGCUACGAACCCUUACUUUCUAAGAUGCAACUCCAAGAUUAAUUUUCGUUUUAAUCAACUAUCAACAAAUUGUCCUGAGCCUGAAAAAUAUAUAGGAAGAAUGGGUGAGAUUAUAAAAUCCUAGUGAGUAGACAGACAUUAUCAAAAUAAUCUAAAGCCGAGUAAUAGGAGACAAUUAAAAUAAUUCAUCCCAACCCAUAUAAAUAAUUGGAUUUCAUCCAAUUACUCAACAUGGCUUAUGCACUUUUCAAAAACUUGGCCCUUGCCAAAAAUCCAUUCUCGGGGAUACCCCGUGGAGGUAUCUUACCGAGAUCGCCAAGGCUGUUUAUUGUCACACACACAAACACAUUUCACCUCUGACAACACAGCCGUUCCUUGGCGUUGGCUGAGUCCCANNNNNNNNNNNNNNNNNNNNNNNNNNNNNNNNNNNNNNNNNNNNNNNNNNNNNNNNNNNNNNNNNNNNNNNNNNNNNNNNNNNNNNNNNNNNNNNNNNNNNNNNNNNNNNNNNNNNNNNNNNNNNNNNNNNNNNNNNNNNNNNNNNNNNNNNNNNNNNNNNNNNNNNNNNNNNNNNNNNNNNNNNNNNNNNNNNNNNNNNNNNNNNNNNNNNNNNNNNNNNNNNNNNNNNNNNNNNNNNNNNNNNNNNNNNNNNNNNNNNNNNNNNNNNNNNNNNNNNNNNNNNNNNNNNNNNNNNNNNNNNNNNNNNNNNNNNNNNNNNNNNNNNNNNNNNNNNNNNNNNNNNNNNNNNNNNNNNNNNNNNNNNNNNNNNNNNNNNNNNNNNNNNNNNNNNNNNNNNNNNNNNNNNNNNNNNNNNNNNNNNNNNNNNNNNNNNNNNNNNNNNNNNNNNNNNNNNNNNNNNNNNNNNNNNNNNNNNNNNNNNNNNNNNNNNNNNNNNNNNNNNNNNNNNNNNNNNNNNNNNNNNNNNNNNNNNNNNNNNNNNNNNNNNNNNNNNNNNNNNNNNNNNNNNNNNNNNNNNNNNNNNNNNNNNNNNNNNNNNNNNNNNNNNNNNNNNNNNNNNNNNNNNNNNNNNNNNNNNNNNNNNNNNNNNNNNNNNNNCCCAUUUUGACCAGCCAUAAUUUCAUCAUGAAAACAUGUAAUUUAACCAUGGAAAUUAAGGAAAAAUGCAUGGGUAAGGUAAAUCACUAGCAAAAUCAAAGAAAUUUUACCUUUGCUUGAUCAAAUCCUUGAAUUCCAACACUUUCUCUUUGAUUUUUCCCACCUAGGGUUUGUUCUUCCUUGGUUUCUCUUCUCUUCUGGUUUGGCUGAUCACUAUGGGAGAAAUUAGCUGAUUUUUUUUUGCCUUUUUAUAAAGAAAUAAUAAAAUAAUAAAAACAUGACACAUGGCAUUUCCUUAUUGGCUCAAAUUUUAAAUAUUUGACUUUUAAUUCUUUAAUUCUCCACCACACAUUUAUGAUGUUUAUCCAUUUCCAUGAUGAAUAAAAUCCCUUGGUCUUGACAAGUGUCGGGGGUGAAAAUUUAUCGAUUUGCCCCCAAGGUGGCAAAAUUACCAUUUCACCCUUAUACUCCAAAUUAUACCGGAAUUAAAAUUUUUCACUUCUAAACUUCAAAUCAUACUCCAAUACUUAAAUCAUACUCCAAUAAGUCAAAUGGACCAAAAAAAAUCUUUUCUAAAAAUUCUCAUUUUGUCCCGAAGUGGCAAAUGACUAUUUUGCCCCUAAAUAGUGAAAAUUUCGGUUUGACUCCAAAUUGAUCAUCGAACUCCGAAUUACCAUUUUGAGUCAUCCCUGAACUGUGAAACUCUUAAUUUCACCUUAAAAUUCCUAUUUGAACUAGUUCAAGGCUUAAUCGACUUAAUGAUACCAUUAGGGGCAAUAUCGUCUUUUAACGAUUUCUCAAGCUUCCUAAAUAUGUAACCAUUCUAUUGAGCAUGUAAAUGACAUUGUAAUUAUUUUAUAGAACAGGGUUUGACACAUAAUAUAAAAUGUUAAUGGAUGAAAUCCUUAGGCAUGACAAGUGUUGGGUGGUGUAAAAUUCCAAUUUUACCCUUGGGUGGCAAAAUGACCAUUUUGCCCCUACGUCAUGAAAAUUCCAAUUUGACUCUAAAUCAAUCCUCGAACUCCGAAUCACCAAAUUAAGUCAUUAUGAGUUUUUAAAAUUCUUAAUUUCAUCUUAAAAUCUCUAUUUGGACUAGUUCGAGGCUUAAUUCAGUUUAGUUGUACCACUAGGUUCACUACCGACUUUUAACGAUUUUUCGAGGCUUUCCAAGUAUGCAAACAUAUUAUCAAGUACAUGAAUGACAUGGCAAAUAUUUUAUAGAGUUGGGCUUGACACUUGUUGAGUCACUCAAGGCCAAACUUUUACAUGAGUACGUUUGAGUUAUUGGUGGGUAUCACUCAACUAGGACCAUGUUGUUCGAAUGUGUCACACAUGACCGCACAAUAUUAGAGGCAUAGUUAGAGAAAAUAUAUAUGAUACAUUUAGACAAAGAGUUGUCACCUAACUAAUCUAGGAGUUGUAUAAGAUACAAUUGGUAAGCUAAGUUAUCUACAUAAUUAGUGUCAUCAUGUCUUGUUGAGUCACUCAAGGUCAUGGUGGGAUUAAGGGGGUCCUAGCUCUAUAAGAAGUUUAAAGGUUAAAUUUCUUGAAAUAGUAGAGGAAGGCUAUUAUUUUAAUAAAAUAUUAAGAAUAAUCAUAUAAAAUUCCAAAAUCUUGACUUUAUAAUUAUAUAAUUUACGUUAAUGAUAAUAAUCAUAUAUGUUGGUUUAUAUAGGAUAUAAACCUAUCAUGAUGAAUAGUUUGUCAAUUAGAAGCACACUUGAUGCAAACAAGUUGACAAGCCCAAAUAUCAUUUACUAGUUCUGCAAUAUCAAGAUUGUCUUGAAACUAGAGAGAAGGGCUUAUGUCUUAGAUGGUUCUAUUCCCGAGGAAUCUAGCGAUGAUGCUACAAAUGAGGAAAAGGAAGCCUAUAGAGUUUACAUGGAUGAUCUCGAUCAAGCCACAUGUGUGAUGUUGGCUAGCAUGGCUCUAGAUCUUCAAAAGCAACAUGAAGCUAUGAAUGCCUUAGAUAUUAUCCUGAACUUUAGAGAAAUGUUCGAUAAGGAAAGUCGUAUAGAGGGAUUCGACAUUUCAAGGGAAUUGUUCUGAUGUAAGAUAUCUGAGGGAAGCCUAGUAAGGCCUCAUGCGCUUAAGAUGAUAGGAUAUAUCACUUGACUUAAGCAGUUGGGCUGGGCUAUGGAUCAUGAUUUGAGCAUAGACCUUGUAAUUUGUUCACUAUCAGAGAGCUAUUCAUAGUUUGUGUUGAACUUCAAUAUGAACAAGAUUGAGGUAACCCUUUCGAGCUUAUUGAAUAUGCUCACUAAGGCUGAGAACACCAUAGCGAAGGAGAAGCCUUCAGUUCAUUUUAUCUCUUUUAAGAAAAAUAAAAAUAAAGAAGAAAAUUUUCUAAGAAAGACAAGGGUGAAAAUGCAUCAACUUCAAAAGGUAUGAAGUCUAUUAGAGGAAUGAAGAAGGACAAGGACAAUGACAAAUGCCAUUUCUGCUGCAAACUAGGGCAUUCGAGGCACAAUUGGAAGGAUUAUCCUGAAUCCAUCAAAAGGAAGAAACAAAAGGAAGCUCCCACAUCAGGUAUGAAUCAUAUGAUGAUUUAUUUUUCACUACUUGGUAUAUAAUACUUUACUCUUUAUUAAUGGUUUUAAUAUGCAUGACAUAUUGAAGGAACUAAUGACAAGGAGUAAUGAAGAAUAGGAUCAUGAAGGGGACAACCUUAGUUAAUGGAGUUCAAGCUUGUCGACCUAGAUUAGAUUGUGGAACAAUAAAUAAUUUUAGAACAUUGAAUGUUUUCGUGGAUUGUCAAGAUGAGAUGUUUUGGUUUUAGGCCUAUGGCUGAAUAUUUUAUCUUACGUUUAGGAAACAUAGAUUUAUAUUUUGCUAGCAUGAAAUGCUUAGCUUAUAUAUAUUUAUAUAUUUACACUACAUCUCAUUUUAUUCUGGAAUUGUUCUAAAUUAUUUCUCCUUAAAUAUAACCUUGCGUAUAUGAUAAUCAAUACUAAGUCAUAAUUAUAAGAUCAUUGUGAGAUUUCUUUUGAUUAUGAAUCAAAAAGGAAAUUUAUGAGAUGACGUAGAUAAAAUUGAGUCAUAACUCAAUGAAUUCAUGAUAGGAUUAUGAAUAGAUUUAGUUAAGGAGCAUUCUUAUUGAGAUAAUUUAUCUAAAUUAAGAUUACUUAGAACUAAAUAACAAUUGAUUAUCAUAUUGAAUUCAUAAGAGAUGAAUCACAAAGCAUUCUAAACCCAGUUAAUCGCAUGAACUAACCUUUGAGAGGAUUUUAUCCCAUAACCAAUGAUGAACAACUUAUAAUAUGUAAGUAUACAUAAAAGUUAUGGAUAUAACGCCCCAAAAGAAAGUAAAUAAGUUUACUUGGCAAGAUUUAUGUACAUGAUAUAAAUAGUGGGAGCUAAUGACACUUUAAAGGUCAAGGUCAUAAAAUUAUGAAAUCCAAUAGGUACGAUCUAUGCACAAAGGUUGAUUUAAUGAGAUGCAUAAGGAUGCAUAAGAAUCCAUUAAAUACAAACUAUUAGUAGGAUGCAUAUUGAUGCACUACUUAUAUAAGAUGAGUCGACUAAAUAAUCCAGCAUGAAUGAUUAGAUAAUAAUCUCUAUUCAAUUUAAUAAAUUCAUAAUAGCUAAAUACAUUGAAUAAGAUAAACAUAUUUUGUGCAAAUUAAAAGGUUAUUCGGAGCAAGAUAAGUUACUCAUUAAAAGUGUAUAAGAUACAUUUGCCAGUCUAAGAAAAACAAAAUGGGACUAAAGAGUUAGAGCUUAAAAGUGGACUCAACAAAAGAAUUUAGGAUGACACGUUAAAGGAGUUUAGCAUAUAGAGAAUCCUAAAUUUGAAAAGUGACAUAUAGUCAUUAUUAAGUAAUUGUAUUGGAAUGGUUCCAAAACAAAAGAUAAUUGCAUGAUUUUAUCUUUAAUCAAAUAUAAACCUUUUGUUUAGGCUACAAAAAAAUAGAUAUUUAGGUCAUUGGUUUAAUGAACCAAUAAAUGAUUCCGAGUUGUUAAAGUAACAAGAGCUAUAAUAAUGGAAUCAAAGUCUUGUUGUGAUCUAAAAUAGUAUUUCAAUUAGGAAAAUGGAAAUUGUCAAACAUAUAAAUUAACAUUUUCCCAAUUAUUGCAAUUUGAGUUGUCCCAGUAGAGACACAGUUGCUAAGAGAAAAGGUUUGAUAUUGGAUACGUUAGCAAUUGACUCAAGUGCAAGUGGGAGAUUGUUGGUAUAUGCCCUUGAGCCAAUUGGAUUGGUCAAAGAAUAUAUAUUGUCAUUUAAUGCAUACUUAAUCACAUACGCAUAUGUGAUAAAGGUUUUCCUUCAUGUUAUUGCAAUAAUAAGGAGUUAUUAAGUACUAAUUGGAUGAAACCCAUAGAACAUAAAGGCCUUGCAAAAGAAUUGUAAAGUUGUUAUAAUUAUGAGAUCACUAUGCAUCAAAGCCAUAUUCCUAAAAUUGUUCUUGGUCAUUCAUUUGUCAAGGUAGGGCAUUCACAAUGCUCAAAGACUGGUACAUGUUAAGCUUCCUUACUUAGGAAGUAAGCAAUCGAUCUCAUAGAUUGAAGUAUAUGGGAUACUUGACGAUAACAUGUGGGUGCUUGUUAAAGAACAAGUUCACUGAACAUGACUUACUAUGAGAACUCCAAUUGGUAUUUCACUUAAGUGUCUAUGGAAUAUGUUUUCAUGUGAUAGUCGUGCAACUAGACCUUAAACUUGAGACACCUGGUCAUAUUGUAUGGGGACUGACACACUUUGAUUUCACCUCUAUGAGUCUGAAGGCAACCAGAUGCCUAAAUAUGGUGCUUUUGGGUAUGCCAUGAAGCAUGCAAAGGUGAAUAAGAGAUUAAGAGAAGGUUCAUCACCCCAAGUGAUAUGAAAAGAUGUAUCUCACUUGUUCUCAAUUCUUGAUUAACUUGUAUAAAGUCUUUGGCCAAAGCAUGAUGAAUUUGAGGAAAGUUACUUUCCUAAAUUCAAAAAGUUAGUCAUGAAUUAUGAGAACUAAUAUGAAAUGUUAUAAGUAGACACUGAGUCAUGCUUUGUGACAUAUCCGAGAUAUUUGAUGAAAGGACUGUAUUGCAUUGAGAGGCUUAUCAUUUAAGGGCUUUGUCAAAUACUUUAAUUGACUCUUUAACAUUUGGGUGGUCAUAAUGUAUUACUAGAUGCCGCUCAUGAUCUAUUAAUAUAAAUCAAUUAUCAAAUUGAUAUUUGAUUAGGAUUUAUUUUUGUUUCCAACAUGUUAGAAGCCUAAUGGGUUACACACAUUAAGUGACAUAAUUGAGAUUAAAUAAGGAUGAUCAAUUAAGUUGGACUUAAUUAGAAUAGACCAAAAUAAAGUGGGAAAUUAAUUAAGUUCACAAGGACUUAAUUGAAUUCAAAUACAACUAUUUUAUCUAGGGUUACCACUUAGUUUGGCUAUAUAAAUAUGUUAUGUUAGCAAACUAAAACUCUAAGCCUCCAGCCAUUUCUUAACCGUUUCAUAAAAUAAGAAAAGAAAAAAAAUAGAUUUCUUUGUCUGACAAAAAUAAUAUUUGGCAAGAAUUUUGGCCUUUUGGUUUUAGAAACAAAACUUGCUAGCACAAGUAAAAUCCUACCUUUGAGAAGGUCUUAUUUAGUCACUGUGUGGAUUACUAUUAAAAGCCAAACACUUAGAUGGCUGAAGAUUUGACAAAUUCUAAAGGUAAAGAAACAAAGAUUUUGGUUACAAAAUUUUAGACUGUCUUAUUCUUUUUAGAGUUUCUUGCUUCAUCAUGAGCCUUUUUGGAUUUAAUUGGCUCUUGAUUACAAUAUCUAGAGCAAGGUAUGUAACUCUUAAACUUAUGAAUGUUCAUAAUUAAUUUGAAAAUUACAUGAAAAACACAAACAUUAAUCUUGUAGGAUUCAAUUGUUUCUCUUAUUAAAUGCUAGUUUAUUAUUUCGCUGCGUUAUAUAUUUUAAUUUCUUGAUUAUUUUCAUAUUUGAUCAUAAGGUCGAAUCCCAGCAGAUUUUUCCAUCUAAAAUGCUAUGGUUAUGUAUAUGAUGUGUACUGCAUAUACUAACUGAUAUGAUUGAAAAAGCAUGAUGAAUGCCAUGGGAUUUUAUAUGUAAUGCAUGUUUUUCAUGCUACAUGAGAAAAUAGAGUAGACAUGAGGAAUGAUAUUAGGUGUGUACAUGAUGUAAAUUCCAUAUACCCUAUGAGAUGAGUAAGCAUGUAUGUGAUAUACAUUCCAUAUAUCUGAUGAUAUGAGUAUGAGUACUUGAUUUGAGUGAGGUAUAAUUUCACUAUUGGGAUGAAGUGACGAGUUCACUCCCAUGAUGCAUCAUAAAUGCCCAAGGUGCAAUGGAGAUUGUACAUUGUCCGCUCAAGACAAAAUGGGUAUUGUAUAUUGCCAGCCUUAGGUUGAUGAGGGUCAAACCAUCAUAAAUGUUGGAUUUUAAUGUUGAGUGAAUGAUUAUGAUUGUCAUGCAUUUAUGAAAUGUUGUAUGCUAAGUUCAUUUUAGUGUUACUUAUGAUUUAUACUCUAUAUUGGCAUGAGAAUGUGCUUAGUGAAAUGAAUUGAGCGUUAACGAUAGUACCAAGAGAUAAAGGAACUUAAGGAGUGGUAAAAAAGUAGAAUUUUUCUCAGAAAACAAAGUUUCAAAGUCUAUCUAUUGAUAUAUGUAAAACAUUUAUCGAUAGAUGGUAAACAGAAUGCAACAUGAAGUAUUUUGUUUCAAAUUUAUCAAUAGAUUUCCCAAAUCUAUUAAUAGAUGAGUCACAGAAUUGUUUUUAUUAGCUUGAUUGAAGGUUUUUCAUAGGGAAAAAGGUUUCUAAAGGUUAUGUAUGCUUGUUUUAUAUGCAAACGCUAUCUAAAAAUACGUUCAAAUACCACGUUUCAUGAACUCUAUGAUUAAGUGGUUUAUGAAUGGCAUGAGAUUACAAGUGCAUGUUUACGAAAUAUUCUUAUCCCCUGGCUUGCCCCUUUCUCGUAUCCACUCACAAAGUCAUUGUGACUCACACAAUAUUUUCCCAAUAUAUUUUGUUGUAGAUUAGUGAUAUCACUCUUGAUAGUAGCCAAUGUCACGAAGAUGUGAUCCAUUCCUUUUUUGGUAGGUGAUCUAGCAACCACUUUUAAUAUCCCGUACUUUGUUAUGUUGGCUAAUAAAGCUCAUUGAAUGCUAAUUAAGGUUAAUUGGAAUGUUUAAAAGUGAUGAAAGGUGAAAACAGUAUUUUAAAAUAAAAUAUUUCACACGCAAGGAAAUAAUAAUAAAAUAAUAAUAAUGUUUUUAUUGAGGAUGAAUUAGCAAGAGAAAAAGUGAUUCUGAAGUGAAUUGAGGUAUAACAAGGUGUUUUGGGUGCCAAAGAGACAAGUGAAAAAUUUUAUAAUAAAAUAAUAUUAAAAUAUUAAUAUUUUAUUCAGUGUCGUAAUUUUCCAUGCAAAGGGAGUGUAUGGUCAAUCUAAGUGGAGGAAAAGACAAACGAGGAAAUUUCAGAGAAAGAUGACGCUAAUGGGGCCUGCGUGCCUUUAUUAAAUAAAGAUAACGUAGGUAAAUAAAUAUUUUGAAUAUUAUGGGGACACCGCGUUGGAGUUAAAACUUUAUAUUUCGUUUGUACAUGUGUAAAUGAAGAUAAUGGAAGGAAAUUAAAAUUAAAAGAUUGUGGGAGGAUACAAUAAAAAAGGGUGAAAACCUUGGAGGGUAAAAUGAUAAUUUUGCCAUUAAAGUGGUUAAAGCUUCCAAAGGAAGCCCUGACUCUUCAUCCUUAUUCUUGGUUGAUCCUUAUCUCUUCAAGAUGGCAUUUCUUCUUCUCCAUCUCCUUCCUCCCAUGCCAUUUCCAUACUUCCACCCCAUUUUCACUUCAUUCCCAUGCAAUUGAAAAGAAAAACAGAGAGAAUUAGCUAAGGAAAGAAAGGAGAGAAAGGUGGAAGGCUUGGGUAGUAAGUGAUUCAAGAGUAACUAAAGAAAUAUGAAGUAGGUCUCAAGAUUCAAGAAACAUAAGGUAAGGGUUUUUGCGUUUUAAGCUCAUGGUCGGUUAAAUCUUUGGAAAAAUGAUGCGUGAAUCAUUUUGUGGCAGCUAUGGUGACCAUAGGUGUGAGUAAAUUAUGAAUUUUGUUAGGUAAAAUCCAAGCUAAAACCAAGUGGUAAGCUUAAUGCUACAAUUUGAACCUUAUGAUUGGUUUAAUAUUGUGAGAAUGAUUAUAUGCAUAUGUAGUGUUAUUGUGAUGUCAUGGCUAUGGUUGGAAGGCAAUUAUAUUAAUUGGAAGUUUGGUGUGUAGAUAUGUGUUGUUAGGAAAGGUUGAAAAGGUUAUGGAUGUUGGUGUGCAUGAAUGAAUAUUAAUGUUAUGCUUGGUGGCAACAUGUAAAUGAGGAUGGUGGUACAUGUAGACUUAUAAAAUAUUUGAUGGAAGUAAAUUUAUAGUUACUGCCAUAUGCUAGGUAAUUAUUGUGGAAAUGAUAGAUGAACUUGAUAAACAUCCUUAGACAAGAUUUAUAUAUGUGCUAGAGUCAUAAAUAAGUUGCCAGUUGUGAGACCUUGACCUUUAUAGACUUGUAAAGGGAAGUAUACGCGAUAUCCCUAAUUAAAUGUAAUUUCGUCAUUUCCUUACCAAACCCAUAAAAGUAAGUUUUAAAUAAUAUUAAGGCCUAAGUAGGCCUAAGGCAUAAAUGAAUGAUGAAAAUAUGGGUAAAAUGACAAGGAAACAAAACUUUUUGAUGAUUUUCAUAACAGGGGCAAAAUGGUCAUUUUUCAUCUCGAGUUAGAAUUUUAAGUUUUUAUGAACCCGAGUAUGUCUAGACCAUUAUGGACCUUAUCCCAAUGUCAAAGGAGUAAAAAGAUUUCAGAAAAGGUUAGAGGGGAGUAAGUUAAUUGGUGGAGGGGCAAUUUGGUAAUUUCAAGGGAAUGGAUAAAUUUGAGCUAUAAAUAUCUUGUUUCCAGCAGCUUCUUCUCCCAUUUUUCCAACAGCUUUGUCUUCUUCUUUUUCUUUUUCCAUCUCACGUUGCUUGCAACCUCCAUGGAAGCUUGAUAUGGAGCUUGCAUAAUUUUCUCUCUCUAGCCUUAGUUUUCAUAUCUUUGAGCCCUUUUGACUAGAACCCUUGUAUUCUUUCAUUCUCUCACUUCAAAACCCUUGAUAAAUCAAAUUUCCAUACUUUCUCUCACUAGCUGGGCAUUCUAGAGAGAGAAAAAAAGAAAUACACCAUUUGUUUGGAAGUUAUUGGAAGAGAAUUCAACUACAAAGAAACCCUAGGGUGAGUGAUGCACUAAGCUUGGUUUUUAGUUGUGGAUAAUGGCUAGUAAAUUAGAUUAUGAGUUGUUUUAUUGUUGAGGAUGUUCAUUCAUUUUAGAGUGAUUUAGAUAGUCAACAUAGAUAACCAUUUAAAGUGACAAUUAAAGGCUAGCUAAGAGAUAGCUUUUAGGGUUUAUAGUAUGUGAAUUAACAUAACGGUGAUGUUAAUGUGAAGGUAGGUUUCAAGGAAGCCCCAUCAUCCCAUUUGGACAAUUAAGGGAAUUAGAGUCAUCUAAAGGCUCAACAAUAUAUCGGUGAGUGGACUGCCUAUAAAAAUUAUUUUGGGACUAUGACCGUUUUGUACAAAGUAUUUGAAUGAUUCUAUAGAACUUUUGUUAAAACAAGUGCCUUGGGAACAAGCCUUUGAUAAAUCGAUUUUAUGUUAUGACAUAUGGUUAUCAUGAAUCUCUAUACUGCAGCAUUAUGUUGAUAUACAUAUAUGUUUGAAUAUAGUGUUGUGUAAUUAUAUUGACUCGGCUAUGUGCAAGUAGGGAGUGCACAUAAGCCGAGGAUGACCCAGUUAUGUGAGAGUAGAGAGUGCGCAUAACCUGGUGAUGACCGAACCAUGUGCGAGUAGGGAGUGCGCAUGAGCUGGUGAUGAUGAUGAUGUGAUGGUGUGCAUGAUGAUGAUGGGUAUACGUAUACAUAUAUACAUAUGUAAAUAUGUGUGCUAUAGGAAAUUAAUGAGUAAUGGUAUAUGGUUGUAAUGCAUGUGAAACUUGACAAGUUAAACCUUGGAAAAUUGUCAUGCACUUCAUGUUGGUUUGGACAUUUCAGCAGGGUGGUUUUUCUUUGGGAAUAAGGGAAAAUUUUUCAUUGGUGCUUUAUUUGUCGCUGCAACGAGAAUCAUUUUCGCUGCAGCGAGAAACUCUUGGGUUUGGAGGGGGUAAACUGGCUGAAAACUUGCUGCAGCGAGAAUGCAUUUUUGCUACAACGAGAAUGACACUAUAGCUUCUCGCUGUAGCGAAAUUCAUUCUCACUGUAGCGAGAAACUUUCUGUUUUUAGGUUACAAUUAUGUUGCAGCGAAAAACUUUCUGUUUUGUCUCCUAUCUUGUCCAAUUACUGCCCUAUUUUUAACUUUUUCGCUACCAUAUCUGAGCAUGGACUUCCAACAUUAAGGACUAAAUAAGUUAAAUUUAAAAUGAGGACGUUUAGUGAGAAACCCUCGGCCAGUUGAGAAGCCCUCGUUCGGCUAAUAACUUAAUCCCAAUGUCGCUAUAGCGAAGAUUCGUUGUCGUAUUUGACUUGCUUGUGAAAUAUUGAAGCUUUCAUUCUUGAAAUGGUUCGUUAUGUAUGGGAUUUUUAAACGAUUAAUCAUCUAAGGGUUUGAUGAGGGGUUUUUAAUAUGAAUGGAACUAAAUUGCAUUGUUUUGAAACAAGUGCAUCAUGAUUUUAAAUUCUCCUUUGUUAUUGCUUGUUCCCUUCCUUGUUCACUCACUAGGUUUAUACUCACUGUUUUCAACUUCAUGUUUUCAUAUCACGAGGCAACCGGUAACUAGGACGAGGUGUCCUUGUAGACUUUUAUCCAUAUUUUUGUAGGUGUCUUGACAUUCAAUAGCUGUACAUUCAUCCGAGUCCCUCUGUUGGAAAUAAAGUCUUCUUUUUGAGAUGUAUAGACAAACUUGAUGUAAAUUAUUAAGAUACAUGUUGUAGGCAAUGUACACUUAAUUGGUAUGCCAGUAUGAGUUGGCAUUGUUUCAUAUUACUUUGAUCCUAAGUUAUGAAAUGUGACUUAGUAGUUUAUGAUGGAAUGAUGAACAUGUCAGAUUGAUAGGCUUACUUGGGUUUAGUGGACUAUGUCCAUUGGGCCCAUGCGCCGGUCAUGGCCCGAAAUUUGGGUCGUGACACCGAUAUCCAUAAUCUAAAGAAUUAUGGAAGUAAAGGAUAAAGGCCACUUUGAUAAAGAAUGUGUCAAGAUAUAAGUUAGUUGAAUAAGGAUUCAUGAUUGAAGGAAAAAGAGAAGUAGAAAUGAGGUACACUAAAGAUUUUGAAUUUGGAUUGUUGCUAGGAAGUACAAAAGUAAAGAUAGUGUACUGUGGUAGCGUGCCGGAGGAAAUAACGAGCUACCAGAAAGUAGCAAUAGCUAGAUACGCCUCCGAACUAAUAGUGUUGUAACAUCCUGCUAUCGUAAGGUGAGUGAACUUGCAUUAAAAUAUUUUGGAAUAAAUGAUUAUAUGCUUGAUUGAACCACUAAAAUUAUUUUACUGGUUUUUCUUAAAAUUUGCAUAAGAACAAGCCCUUGAUGAAACGUUAUAUGUUAUGAAUGUGUAAUAUGAUGAAUCCUUGUGCUCCCAUAUUAUGUUGAUAUAUAUAUGUUGUAUAUUGAUAGUUAAUAUGGUGUGAUAAUUAUAACUGCGCAUGUGCCCGAUGUGGGGGUUGCACAUGCUGGUGAUGAGGGGGUGAGGGAGUGUGGAUGAUGAUAUAUGCCAUGUGCGGGAUGUGGGGGGAGCACAUGAUGGAAUUAGUUGUGCACGAUGUGGGAGUGCACACGAUGAUGAUGAUAUAUGCAAUGUGCACGAUGUGGGGGAAGCACAUGAUGGCAUUAGUUGUGCGAGAUGUGGGGGUGCACACGAUGAUGAUGAUAUAUGCCAUGUGCACAAUGUGGGGGGGAGCACAUGAUGGCAUUAGUUGUGCGCGAUGUGGGGGUGCACAUGAUGACCCCGGCUAUGUGCGGUGCGGAGUGCACAUGAACUGGGUGAGGUGGUGGUUGUAUACAUGCUUGUAUAUAUAUAUGCUAUAAAUAUGUUUUUUAUAUGCUAUAGAAAAGGUUAUGAAAAUAAUAUGUGACUGCAUUGAAUAUUGAGAAAAACUUGAUUAUUUUCAAUGUCCUUGAUUUAAUGUACAAUGUGUUCGAAUCAAGGCAACGAAGAUCUUAAGGACACUUAGUAUUUUCGUUGAAUUUUGUAUUACUUUAAGUCUAGAAAGACGUGGUGUAAAUGAAGUAGUAGUAGUUAUCUGUAUAAAGGACUUAAGAGUUUGGCUUUUAUUUUCAUGUGACUCAAACGGAUUAUGAAGUAGCUGUUUAAAUGACGUGGUGCAUAUGGUAAUCUUUUGGUAUGAUAGAGGUGGACUAGCAAUAUAAUUAUUGAACAAGGAUAUUCACCUGAGUGGUGUGGUUGGUCGCCAUAGAUAACUAUUAAAGGUUGAUGUAGAAAGUCAUUAAUGGUACAAGCAACUACAAGACCUAACAAGCGAUUACUGAUUAAUCGUGGAAAUGUGAAAUUUGAAAUCUCAAUUGCAGCUAUAAUUCGGGAGGAUAUGAGAGAAAUUAAUGAGACUAUAUAUGACACCUUGAAUGGUUAAUGUGAUUAAGUCAAGGAUUGUAAACUUAUGUAUUGAGGAAAUUAUAACUCGAUAUUCCUAUGGAUGAGAAAUGUUAAGGGUAUAUGCUGGAUAAACAGGAAAAGGGUCAAAAAGGAUAAUUCGUUGGUCAAGUAUCUGUAGUGUGUAGGUAGGUACAAAAGAGUUGUGCAAUGCAUAAAAGAAGAAAAAGAUAUGUAAGUCUUUUAAUUGUUUCUUAUAAAGUACGAUUGGUGGUAAGAAUUGAGGCACAUGGUGCCAUGACAUUAUAAAUUGAUAAUUUGGCACAAAUAUAGACCGUUGGGGGUAAAUGAUGGAGCUUGAGGAAGAUGAAUUCUUCAUUAGUAAGGAUUGUAGGUAUAAGGUGUGGAAAAGAUGAACUAUUUCCAUGGUUGUUUGUACUGAAAUGUCAAUAAAAUAUUUGAGUUACAAGACAAGAAAGACAAUUAAUUUGGGAUGAUAAGAAUUGUGGGAUGUCAUAAAUAAUGAGUAGUUAUGUGUGUGGUUCUGUAUAUAUAUCUUGUGAAGUCAUUACACAAUAUGGAGGGGAUGUCUUAAGGUGGGACUUAAUGAUUGAUGAUGAGUGUUAAAGGAUAAUAUGAGUUGAAAGUAUUGACUUCGCCUAAUGCAUAUGAUAAGCAAAAUGAAGAUACACAUGCUGAUGGAAAUUGUGGUAUGGGAUUAAAAGGAACCUAUGCGGUUGAGAAUGAUUGGUGCGGUAGCCUUAAAGGUAGAAGAAUUGCUUCAAUAAAGUAAAAAAAAAAAAAUUCUAGUAGUUGCAACUCCGCAGCGCUGACUGCCCAAUGCUACCGUGUUAAAAACCCUUCAUGGCUGGGAAGCGCAAGCAAAUUGUGAGUGGUAUGAAGAUGAAACUCACAAGUUGAAUCAUGGUCAUUGGUUUUGAUGUUGAGCUUAGUUAUUUGGAGUUUUAAGUUCGUGGAAAAGUGUUUAUAUGAGGGAAUUGAAAGGUUUAUUUAGUGCCUUUGACAUGUAAAAGAAAAAAGAGUUAAAGAGUUCUUGAGAUGGCUACAUUAAGAUAAAUUACCAUGUGGAGUAUUAAAAUGAAUAAUAUGUUGACUAAAGUCAAAUCUUAAGAAAUAAAGAAGACAAGAGAUUAAGCCUUGUUAAAGGCUAAGGAAAAAGUGAGUGAAAGGUUAGAUGAAUGUAUGAGACAUUGACAAGGGAUGUCAAUACCAAGUAUGAAAUUGUGAAUAAAGGAUUACAAUGGUAGCAUAGCAAAUGAGUUAAUAUAAAGUAUUGCUAUGAAGAUUUACAAAUCUUGUCAUGAUUUAGUUGAAUGAAGAGGAUUAGUAACAAUACAAGGCCGAUUACGUGGCAUGCUAGAAACCCUUGGGGAUAAAUUGAAGUAUGAAUAGUUGAGCAUGCAUUUAAAUAUCUUGGUGAAUAAGUGCAUGCCUUUUCGGAAUGAUAUGCUUGGAAGAUUAAAGAGCCAAUAAGUGAUUAAGUGUUUUAGGAAUGCAUCAACAUCGUUGAAAAGGAUAUACCAAUCAUACGUGGCAAGUAUAACAUCUGGAAAAUUUAAUCUUGCUAAAGAGCCUAAUGGCUAAACCACAAGUUAAAUAAUUAUAUAUGGUGAGAUAUAAGUUUAAGGUGGGUAUCUGCAAGGAAAUACUCAAAAGGAAUCCUGCUAUGCAUCUUGUGAAAACAAGCAUUAAGUUAUGUUGUUACAAAAAGGGAAGCUGUAAGCUGAAAGUGAUACUCACAUUGACAUUGAAAGGUACUUGAGAAGAACUUUAUUUCUAGUCUUGUAAUUUUGAGUACAUAUAGUUAAUUGGCUAAGGAAGAAUGAUGUUAUAUUUGUCUGAAAGAGUAGUGCAGAAGAUGAUUGGAGAUAAUCUUGAUAAUGAAGUCAGAUAAUGAAAACCUCUUAAUGUAUGAUUGGAGUUUAAAAACACAUGAGGCAGGCAUGAUCCAAAUGAAUCUAAGUCUUAAGUGACUGGUUAAUCUCGAAUUGCAAAAAGGAUAUAAUCUAUAUGUUACAGGCAUGAAAGAUAAUUGAAAUAAAAGGAUGGCUUGUAGGGAUUGUGAUAUUACAUAAGAUGCAAUGAUUAAGUAAGAGAUAAAUCUUUAAAGGAUCAACAUGGUUAUAAAGCAUAUACGAAUACCGGAUUGCAAUUUAAUGAAAAUGACAUUUGGCAAGUGAGAGGUGACUAAUGAGAUUAUGAUGCAAGGAUAUAUAGUAUAAUGAUAUUUAAGAAGAUAAUUGGAAAUGAUAAGAAAAGAGUAUGGCCAUGUAAAAGACGUGAAGCUAUGCAUAGGCAUAAUGAGAAUUCUUAUGGAUUACGUAAGAGAUAACUUACGGUAAGAUGCGAGUGGAAUGGUGAUUUAAACAUAUAAAAAAGGUAAUCUAAAAUUGAUUAUACCCCAAUGCUCAUACAUUAAAUAUGAGAGCGUUGACAUGAACUAUGAAGAUUAUCAUAUUAAAUCUUGGCUAUGGAUGGAAGCAAACAAAGAGAAAUUAGUCUGAAGGCACUUGAAAACAAGGAUCCCCACACUUAAUAAGGAAGGAUGAUACUUAAAUGUGUGGAUACGUACGUAUGUGUGGAUUUAAUGAUGUGCCCAACUGAAGUGAAGAAUUGUUCUUAGUGAUUCGAGCUUUGAACUCAAUAAUUGAUGAGUUGUAUAGAUAGUACAACGAUAAAAUAUCCCAUCAGAAGUUGAGCUAUGUUGAUAUAAAAUAUUUUGGAGAAAUAGUUAAGGAAAUGAUACCAAGGAAAUGUAAUCUAUAACGUGGUUAAGCCAUACAAGAUGGACUAAUAUGAUUAUGAAGAUUGAAAUUGCAGAAAUACAAGGUAAACAUGAGUAUGUGGGAAUAAUUGAAGCCGUUAACCUCCCCCAACAUUGGGAAUACGUACAGGAAUGAAUAUGGCGUGUUAAUAAUACUAUAAGCUACAUAAUAAUGUAUGAGGAUAGGAUGAAUGAAUGAAUGUCGAGAAGUUUGACAAGUAAUGAAGUAAUAAGAUGGUGAUUGGUAUACAUAAGUCAGUAUAAAAUGUGAUUGAAAUCGGUAUCAUUAAGAUGGAGUUACGGUUCAAAUUUAAUGAUGGUGAUAAUGGCAUACUCAACGUUUUAAAAUAAGAGAUAAUGAUCGUGAAGGGUACCACCGAUUUGAUUCUAAAGGAUGAUAACAGACAUAAGUGAAGCAUUCUAGUCAAACUGGAGGUAAACAAGGUGAAUGAAUGACUGGAGGUUUGACAAUAAUCAAAAUAAAGAUAUGUUUGAGGUUAGUAACGAAAUUAAAGGCAUACUUGGGAUCUUAGUGAUAAGAAAGAAUAGUUGAGAAGGGGACCGUGGUUUUGACUCAAAGAUGAUAAUAGAUAAAAGUUACGUACCCAGACCUAGUAAAGUAUUCUAGUGAAAUUGAAGAUAAUGAGAUGCGUAAAUCAAAUUCCUUACAAAGAAGGAAAUGGAAUAUGAUCAUUGAGUGAGAUUAACAACUCGAUAUUGAAGAGAAUUCAAGGAUGAAUCCUAUUUAAGUGGGGGAGAUUGUAAUAUCCCGUACUUUGUUAUGGUGGCUAAUAAAGCUUAUCGAAUGCUAAUUGAGGUUAAUUGGAAUGUUUAAAAGUGAUGAAAGGUGAAAAGAGUAUUUUAACAUAAAAUAUUUAACAAGCGAGGAAACAAUAAUAAAAUAAUAAUAAUGUUUUUACUGAGGAUGAAUUAGCAAGAUAAAAAGUGAUUCGGAGUAUAACAAGGUGUUUUGGGUGCCAAGGAGACAAGUGGAAAAUUUUAGAAUAAAAUAAUAUUAAAAUAUUAAUAUUUUAUUCAGUACCGUAAUUUUUCAUGAAAAGGGAGUAUAUGGUCAAUCUAAGUGGGGGAGAAGACAAACGAGGAAAUUUUAGAGAAAAAUGACGUUAAUGAGGCCCACGUGCCUUUAUUAAAUAAAGAUAACGUGGGUAGAUAAAUAUUUUAAAUAUUAUGGGCACACCGCAUCGGAGUUAAAACUUUAUAUUUCAUUUGUACAAGUGUAAAUGAAGAAAAUGGAAGGAAUUUGGAAUUAAAAGAUUGUGGGAGGAUACAAUUAAAAAGGGUGAAAACCUUGGAGGGCAAAAUGAUAAUUUUGCCAUUAAAAUGGUUAAACCUUUCAACUCUUCAUCCUUAUCCUUGGCUGAUCCUUAUCUCUUCAAGAUGGCAUUUCUUCUUCUCCAUCUCCUUCCUCCCAUGCCAUUACCAUACUUCCACCCCAUUUUCACUUGACUCCCAUGCAAUUGAAGAGAAAAAUAGAGAGAAUCAGCUAAGGAAAGAAAGGAGAGAAAUGUGGAAGGCUGGGGUAGUAAGUGAUUCAAGAGUAACUGAAGAAAUAUGAAGUGGGUUUCAAGAUUCAAGAUACAUAAGGUAAGGGUUUUUGUGUUUUAAGCUCAUGGUUGGUUAAAUCUUUGGAAAAAUGAUGUGUGAAUCAUUUUGUGGCAACUAUGGUGACCAUGGGUGUGAGGAAAUUAUGAAUUUUGUUGGGUGAAAUCCAAGCUAAAACCAAGUGGUAAGCUUAAUGCUACAAUUUGGUGUGUUGAUAUGUGUUGUUAGGAAAGGUUUAAAAGGUUAUGGAUGUUGGUGUGCAUGAAUGAAUAUUAAUAUUAUGCUCGGUGGCAACAUGUAAAUGAGGAUGGUGGUACAUGUAGACUUAGAAAAUGUUUGAUGGAAGUAAAUUUAUAGUUACUGCCAUAUGCUAGGUAAUUAUUGUGGAAAUGAUGGAUGAACUUGAUAAAUAUCCUUAGACAAGAUUUAUAUAUGUGCUAGAGUCAUAAAUAAGUUGUCGGUAUCCAUAAUCUAAAGAAUUACGCAAGUAAAGGAUAAAGGCCACUUUGGUAAAGAAUGUGUUAAGAUAUAAGUUAGUCAAAUAAGGAUUCAGGAUUGAAGGAAAAAGAGAAGUAAAAAUGAGGUACACUAAAGAUAUUGAAUUUGGAUUGUUGCUAGGAAGUACAAAAGUAAAGGUAGUGUACUGUUGUAGCGUGCCGGAGGAAAUAACGAGCGACCGAAAAGUAGCAAUAGCUAGAUGCGCCUCCAAACUAAUAGCGAUGUAACAUCUCGCUAUCGUAAGGUGAGUGAACUUGCAUUAAAAUGUUUGGGAAUAAAUGAUUAUAUGCUUGAUUGAACCACUUGAAUUAUUUUACUGGUUUUCUUAAAAUUUGCAUGGGAACAAGCCCUUGAUGAAACGUUAUAUGUUAUGAAUGUGUAAUAUGAUGAAUCCUUGUUCUCCCAUAUUUUGUUGAUAUUUAUAUGUUGUUUAUUGAUAGUUAAUAUGGUUUGAUAAUUAUAACCGCGCAUGUGCCCGAUGUGGGGGUUGCACAUGCCGGUGAUGACGGGGCGAGGAAGUGUGGAUGAUGAUAUAUGCCAUGUGCGGGAUAUGGGGGGAGCACAUGAUGGCAUUAGUUGUGCCCAAUCUAGGGGUGCACACGAUGAUGAUAUAUGCCAUGUGCGUGAUGUGGGGGGAGCACAUGAUGGCAUUAGUUGUGCGUGAUGUGGGGGUGCACACAAUGACUCCAGCUAUGUACGGUGCAGAGUGCAUAUGAGCUGGGUGAGGUGGUGGUUGUAUAGAUGCUUGUAUAUACAUAUGUUAUAAAUAUGUUUUUUUAUGCUAUAGAAAAGGUUAUGAAAAUAAUAUGUGACUUCAUUGAAUAUUGAGAGAACUUGAUUAUUGUCAAUGUGCUUGAUUUAAUGUACAAUGUGACAUGAGUGGAUUUUCCUUGUGGUAGUGAAAACCCCUUAGAUUAUAUCUAGCUACAAUUUUAUUGCAGGGAGAAUGCCUUUUCGCUGCGGUGGGAAUCAAUUUAUUGGGCUUGACUUGCUUGAAUUCUACUAAAGUUUUCACUUUUCAACUUCUUUGUUGUUCAUGGAUCCUUCAUCAUCAAGUGGUUAAACAACCAAGGAUUUGAAUGAGGGGUUUUUAAUAAGAAAUAAACUAAACUGCAUUGUUUUUAACUUAAGUGCAUCAUGAUUUCUAAACCUACCUUAACGUUGCUUGUUCCCUUCUUAUGUUCACUCACUGGGUUUAUACUCAUGUUUUUAAACUUCAUGUUUUAGGUUUUCUGAGUUAAAGGUGAUUGGUCCUAGGACGAGGUGCUCCUUCCUAUCCAUUGCUCAGUAGGUUUACCAUGACACUAAAUGUUAACAACUGUGCCCAGAGUCACUCCGUUGAUGGUCAAGGUCUAAUUAUGUGUAUAUGAAUGCUUGAUGUGAAAUGCUAAGAUUCAUUUGUCAAGCCAUAUAUGUAUAUUAUGGUUGAUGAUGCCAUUAUGAAUACAUAAUUCUAUCUUAUGAAUUGUUUUCAAAUGAAUUAUAUUUGAACAUUACGAAUUUUGGAUUUUAAAGGCACAUGGAUUAAUGUACAGAUUAUAUAAAUAGGCUUGCUUGGGCUUAGUGGGUUGAGCCCAUUGGGCCUUUACGACGAUCAUGACCCAGAAAUUAGGUUCUGACACCACUUAUAGCCUAAAGGUCGUGUCAUGUUUUGUUGACGGGUCGUUUUUUACUUCAUGUUUAUGUUUAUGGAUAUUGAACAUGUUUAUGGUGAUGUAGCAAACUUUUGGCACUUACUUUAUGAAUAUUAUGGAUAAAUGUGUAAAAGUGGCUCAAGAGCCUAUAUAGACACCCAAGGGUGUAGAUGAAUGAAUUUAUGCACUAAGAUAGUGGCACUCUAAUGUUUAUGAGAUGUUACACAUACAUUACUUAUGUUGAGAAAUAUUAUAACUGUGUAUGUUGCCUAUGUACGCAUGCAUGUGAUGACAACGUAUAUUUAUGAUGUUUAUGUAUGCUUAAGCAAUGAUGUAUGUUUAAUGAUGAAUGCUAGAGAGGCUUCCCCGGGCAUAGCAGGCUAUACCCAUCUAGGUUCAUCUGUCGAUCAUGAUCCUUUCAGGAAAUGGGAUGUGACAAUUGUCAAUGUCCUUAUUCUUGACAAUACAAUACCCAAGAACAUAUUUAGGAACAAGGCUUUGAUGCAUAAGAAUGCCAUUAUGUUUCAAAGACUUUAUCUACAUCAGUCUCUCAUAACUCUUUAUAAAUAAACUCAUGGAUAAAGGAAUACCUCAUACAUUAUAUAAAAUAUCCAUAAUGUAUUUAAUAUGAAAUAUGACUAAUUCAUGUAGUGUUUUAGAAGCAUAACAUCGAUUGGCUUACAAGGCUUACACUAACAAUCUCUCACUAGCACUAAAGCCAAUCCCUUAUUUAUCUAUACCAAAGCCCUCCUAAUGGCGAUCAUGUUUAUGUUGGUAUAGAACUUUAGUGAGACAGUCAACUAGGUUGUCAUCCUUGGGUACUCUUUCUAUAUUAAUAUCACAUCUCCUAAUGAUUUCCUUGAUCAAGUGAUAACACUGCAAUACAUGUUUAGAUCAUUGAUAAGGCCUAUUGGUCCCAAAUUAAUGUGCUAGAGGGGGCUGAAUAGCACUUUUUGGCUCUUGGCAAGAUGAGAAACUAAUUUGAAAAGCAAUGAAAUUAAAAAACAAAGUAGAUAAUGCGCAGGAAUUUAGAGUGGUUCGGUCCAAAACUUAAAUCCACUACCUUAAUUGUUCAACCAAGGAUUUUCUAAACAAAUCCACUAUGAACCGGUGAAAUUCACAAGCUUUCACCAAGCUUUUACAAUGGCUUUUACAAGGCUCAACCAAAACUUUUCACAGUAGUUUUUAUUGGGAUCAACUAAAGCCCAAACACCUAACUUUUCAAGGUUAAGUUAGAACCUUAACAUAAUCAAGUGAUCCUAGCUUGAAAUAAUCACUUAGAGUGACUUGUUCACUCUAAGAAUACAAGAAGAAAAGUAAAAAGAGUGUACCUAUGAUCACAAGGUUGAUCUAAGUGGUACAAGGUUAAGGGCAUAUCACAAUUACAAAGAUAGGUGUUGAGUGCAGUGAGAGUACAGUAAGUGUUUUCUAGUUCUUCAGCUCUUUUUCGGACUUGCAAGCCUUCAAUCUUCUCUCUAUAUGUUUUCUACCCAUUGGAAGACACUUUUAUACUUAGAGAAACAACUCUGAUGGCAGUUUGGCAGUUUAUGGCCAUUGGAAACAGUUGAGAUUAAGUUUCAAAUUGCAGAUAGAGAGCUCUUAGUCGACUAACUUCCUUUUUAGUCAAUUAAGUUGGUUCUAUCUUCUGGUCUCAAUUUCAAGCAGAGAGCACUUAGUCGAAUAACUUAUUUCUUGGUCGACUAAGUCAGUUCUGUUUCUAAGUAUUCUUCAACCUGCCAUUUCUCCAAUUUGAAUUUUAGCCAACCAAUACUCUUCAUUAUUCAACUAAGGACCUUUCUUUUUGUUGAUAAAUCAUUUUUCCUCAUUCAUGUGAUUUUUUAUAUACACUUUUGACGGAUUGAUUUAUUAUUUCCAUACAAUUUUUGUCCUGCACACUUAAGUAGAGAUAUUAGAUACAAAUGAAUGGGAAUAUUUUAUUAUCAUCAAAAACUAAUAGAGCUAACAAUCUCCCUCUUUUUGAUGAUGACAAAACAUUCCUUGAUUAACAGCACAAUGUCUUUUUAUUCUUUUUAGUUUUGCAGAAAAUGGAGGAUUGCUCCCCCUAAGUGUGUGCUCCCCUUUAGUGUGUGCUUAUUUUACUUAUUCAUUCCAGCAAAUUUUAUUCAUGUCACAUAGAAAAUGACACUAUACAUUCAGAGUAUAUAUAUGCAAAAAUAUAAAGUGAUUGACAACAGGUGAAUGUUUACAGAUUAUCAUCAGUAUUUAAGCAGUGUCUGUCAACAAUAUAUUGUUACCAUAUUUUGUCUAUACCAUUAAACAUUCAACAGAUAUAAUAUACCUAGCAGCCAUAUGUAUUCACAAACACAUUCCAUUCUCAAUGUCAUAAUAAAAAUUAGUCAUCAGCAAAAUAUCCCAAUAUCAGUACAGCACCAAAUUUUUAACAGCAGCAGUCAAAAUACCAUAGACAGUAAGACAUCAUCAAAUAUUCAAUUAUCAACAACCAAAUAACAUAAACAUAUUAGCAUCCCAUUUUACACACAAAAACAUAAACAACAAGGUUAAAUUCAAGUGUUCAACAGUCAGUAGGACAAAAAAUAGUAGAAAGCCAAAAAAUAACAGUUACUUUUCUGAAAUUGCCCCUAGAUAGUUUAUACUUCCUAUCUCCCUUAAUCUUUCCAUAAUUUCUCCCCUAAGGCCCCUACCAUACUUCUCCACCUUUUUGUCAUCAUCAACACUCAAGGAUGUUUAAUUAUCUUCUGAAGAGGAUGAGGGAAAGGAUUCAUCAUCAGUGAAAUAUUUGACAUAGAGGGGUUUAGGAGAAGGUUCUGGUGGUGAUUUUUGUGGUGGAGGUUUAGGUGAGGAUUUGUCAAAAACUUCCAAAGGUUCUUGAGGAGAAGAGAUAGUUGCUAGUUUAGACUUUUCAGCAAUUUUGGAGGAUUUUCUUCUUUUAAGGAAUUUUGUCUUGGUUGCCUUUCUCUUGAUGCCUUUACCAAGUGGUUUUGGUUUAGUUUGUGGGGCUGCAGUAGUUUUCUUUUUUCCUUUCGCAGUCUGCUUCUCUGCUGUUUGUGAUAGUGCAUAUGUGGCUUGCUGUGUUUUUGCUUGAGCUACUUCUUUCUUAGCUUGUUCGUCAUGAACCAUUUUGUAGCAGCCCAAUUUCCGGGCCAUGACCGGCGCAAGCGUCCAAUGGGCUCAGGCCACUAAGCCUAAGCUAGCUUAUUUAUAUAAUCUUAUACAUUGAUCCACAUUUCUUUAAAAUCCACAAUUCGUAGCGUUCAAAUAUAGUUCCUUUAAAAACAAUUCAUAAACCCAAUCAUGCAUUCAUAAUGGCAUCAUCAACCAUUAUAUACAUACAUACAUUAACAAAUGAAUCUUAAUAUUUCACAUCAAGUAUCAUAUACACAUANCAUGAUGCAAUUAAGUUCCAAAAACAAUGCAAUUUAGCUUAUUUCUUAUCAAAAACCCCUUAUUCAAAUCCUUAUCAUUUAGUCACUUAAUGACGAAAGACCCAUGACAACAAAGAAGUUGAAAAGUGAAAACUUUAGUAGAAUUCAAGCAAGUCAAGCAUAAUAGAUUGACUCUCACCACAACGAAAAGGCAUUCUCACUGCAACGAAAUUCUGGCUAGAUAAAAUCCAAGGGGCUUUCACUGCCACUAGAAAAAUCCACUCAUGCCACAUUGUACAUUAAAUUGAACACAUUGACAAUACUCAAGUUUUCAACAGUCAAUGCAAUCACAUAUUAAAUCCAAACAUCUAUAUAUAGUAACUAUGUAUAUAUAUAAGCACUUACACCACCAUCUCACCCAGCUCAUGUGCAUCCCCCCACAUCGCGCACAUAGCCGGAGUCAUCGUGUGCUUCCCCCCACAUCGUGCACAAGCAAUAUCAUUGCUUUAUGCAUCCCCCCACAUCAUGCACAAGCGAUAUCAUCAUUGUGUGCAUCCCCCCUCAUCAUGCACAGCCAAUGCCAUCGUGUGCCUCCCCCCACAUCAUGUACACGGGCAAUAUCACCAUCCAUCUCCCUUACCACAGUCAUCAACGGCAAGUGCACACUCACCCUGCACAUGCAUGGUUGCAUUUUGUCACACAAUGUACCGGUUAUGACAUAGUAUAUAUAUAUAUAUAUAUAUCAAUAUUAUACAAAAACACAUGGAUUCAUCACACUAUCCAUUUCAUAACAUAAAAACAUUUCACAAGGGCUUGUUCCCAUGCGAGUUUUUGAAGAAAAACAAAUAAAACGUUUUAAGGGAUUCAAUCAAACAUAAAUGUGUAUAUCCCAACACAUUUGAAUGCAAGUUCACUCACCUUAUGAUAGUGGGACAUUACAUCGCUAAUUGUUUGAAGGUGUAUCUAGCUAUUCCUACUUGUCGAUCGCUCGUUGUUUCCCUCGGCACACCACCACAGUACUCUAACUUUACCUUUGCACUUCCUAGCAACCAUACAAAUGCAAUACCUUUAGUGUACAUCAUUCCUACUGCUUUUUUUCCUUCCAUCAUGAAUCCUUAUUCAACUAACUUAUAUCUUGACACAUUUUUACCAAAGUUGCCUAUAUCCUUUACUUGUGUAAUUCUUUAGAUUAUAGAUACCGACAACUUGUUUAUAACUCUAACACAUAUAUUAACCUUGUUUAAGGAUAUUUAUCAAGUUUAACCAUCAUUUCCACAACAAUUAGCUAACAUAUGGCAGCAACUACAAAUUUAUUUCCAUCAAACACUUUCUAAGUUUACAUGUAACACUAUUCUCAUUUACAUGUUACCACCAAGUAUAACAUCAAUAUCCAUUCAUAUGCACCAACAUCCAUAACCCUUUUAAGCUUUUCCUAACAACACAUAUAUCCACAAAAUUCAUUUCUUUUCCAAAUUUCCAGUUAAUAUAAUUACCUUCCGAUCAUACCCAUGACAACACAAUAACACUACAUAUUGCGCACAAUCAUUCUCACCAUAGUAAACCAAUCAUAGCCUUCAAAUUAUAGCAUGAAGCAUAGCACUUGGUUUUAGCUUGGAUUUCACCCAACAAAAUUCAUAAUUCCCUCACACCCAUGGCCACCAUAGCUGCCACAAAAUGAUUCACUCAUUAUUUUUCCAAGGAUUUAACCAACCAUGAACUUAAAACACAAAAAUCCUUACCUUAGCUUGCUUGAAUUACAAAACCAAGCUUUUUCUUCCUUUCUCUCUUUUUCUUUCUUCUUCUCCUAGGGUUUGGAUGUGCUGGAAAUUGGGGUUAAAGGCUUCAGGUUUAGCACCCAAGAAGUUUGGAGAAGAAAGAAUUAAGAAAAGAAAGGAAAUGAGAAGAAACAAGCAAAAUGACAUGAAAAAAAAUUGAUUUUCAUGAACUUGACAUGAAAAUGGCAUUGGAAGCUUCAGGAAGGAGAAGAAAAUAUCUUACUAGAGGAGAUAAGGACGGUUUUGGGCUAAUAAAGAUGAGAGUCAAAGCUUCUUUUGGAAGCUUUGACCAAACUUUAUGUAAAAUUACCAUUUUGCCCUUCAAGUUUCUUCCCUUUUUAAUUUAGUCAUCCCAACACUCAUUUAACUCCAAUUUCCUUCUAUUAUCUUCUUCUACACAUGUACAAACAAAGUAUAAUGUUUGUACUCCAACGCGGUGUCUCCAUAAUAUUUAAAAUAUUUGUUUACCCGCACUAUCUUUACUUAAUAAAGACACGCGGCCCUAUUAAUGUCAUUUUUCUUCGAAAUUUUUCUCAUUCUUCUUUUUCCCCACUUAGAUUGACCAUAUACUCCUCCUUCAUGAAAACUUUCUACACUGAAUAAAAUAUUAAUAUUUUAUUAAUAAAAUAUUAUUUUAUUCUAAAAAUUUCCUCUUGUCUCCUCUUAUCUCCUUGGUACCCAAAAUACCUUAUUAUGCCUCAAUUUACUUCUGAAUCACUUUUUAUCUCGUAAAUUCUUCCUCUAUAAAAAUAUUAUUAUUUUAUUAUUAUUUCCUUGCAUGCGAAAUAUUUUAUUCCAAAAUAUUCAUUUCAUCUUUCAUCACUUCUAAAUAUUAUAAUUAACCUCAAUUGGCGUCCAAUAAGCUUUAUUAGUCACCAUAUCAAAGUACAAGGCAUUACAGUCUCCCCCACUCAAAUAAAAUUCGUCCUCGAAAUUUCCUCAAUGUUGGGUUGUUAAUCUCCCUCAAUGAUCUUAUUCUAUUUCCUUCUUCGUAGGGAAUUUUGAUUUACGCACUUCAUUACCUUCAAUUUGAGUAGAACACUUUACAAGAUCAGGGUACGUAUCUUAUAUCUAUUAUCAUCUUUGAGUCAAAACCACGAUACCUUUCUCAAUUGUUCUUUCUUAUCACUAAGAUCCCAAGUAUGCCUUUAAUUCCUUCACUAACCUCAAACAUAUCUUUAUUUCGAUUCUUGUCAAACCUCCAGUCAUUCAUUCACCUCGUUUACCUCUAGUUCGACUAGAAUGUUUCACUUAUGUCUGUUAUCAACCUUUAGAAUCAAAUCGAUGGUACCCUUCACGAUCAUUAUCUCUUAUUUUAAGACGUUGAGUAUGGCGUUAUCCUCAUCAUUAAAUUUGAACCAUAUCUCCAUCUUAAUCAUACUGAUUUCAAUCACAUUUUAUACUUACUUAUGUAUACCAAUCACCAUCUUAUUACUUCAUUCCUUGUCAAACUUCUCAUCAUUCAUUCAUUCCUAUCCUUAUACACUAUUAUGUAGCUUACAGCAUCAUUAACAUGCCAUAUUCAUUCCUGUACAUAGUCUCAACGUCGAGAAAGGUUAAUGCCGUCAAUUAUUCCCACAUGCUUCAACUUUAUCUUGCAUUUACACCACAUACUUCAAUUAUUCCCACGCUAUGAAUUACAUUUCUUUAAUCUCAUUUCUCGGACUAUUUUUCCCAAACUUUUUUAUAUCAUCAUAGUUUAACUGCUAAUGGGACUUUUUGCCGUUGUACCAUUUAUGCAACUCAUCAAAUACAUAAAGUACAAAUCUCAAAUUACUGAGAACAAUUCUUCACCUCAGUUGGUCAAGUCAUCAAUUUCACAUAUACGUAUGUACUUGCAUUUCCAAAUGUCAACAUUCCUCAUUACGCAUAGGGAUCCAUGUGUUCGCGUGCCUUGGACUACAUCUCCCUUUAUUCAUCCCCAUCCCUAUCGAAGAUUCAAUAUAAUAAUUCUCAUAGUGCAUGUCAACAUUCUUGUUAUGCCUAUGCAUAACUUCAUAUUGUUUAUAUCAUUUCCAAUUUUAUGCUUGAGUUUCAUUGUACUAUAUAUCCUUGCAUCACAAUGUCAUUAAUCACAUCUCACUUGCUAAAUGUCAUUUGCAUUAAAUUGUAAUCCGGUAUUCGUAUAUGCUUUAUAAUGUCAUUGAUCUUUCAAAGGUUUAUCUUUAUUGGAUCAUUGCAUCUUACGCAAUACCAUAAUCCCUAAAAGGCAUCCUUAUUUCUCAAUUAUUCUUCAUAGGUCUAACAUAUAUAUAUUAUAUCUUUAUUGCAUUUUGACUUUAAUGAGUCACCAAAAACUUAGACUCAUUCGAAUCAUGCAUGCCUCAAGCAUUUUUGAGUUCUAAUUUCCAUACUACAUUAGGAACUUUUUCAUUAUCGGACUUCAUUAUCUAGAUUAUCUUCAAUCAUCCUUUGUUCUAUUCUUCCAUACUAAUGUGACAUCAUUCUCCCUAAACCAAUCUACAGUUUGGACUUGAAACUGCAAGACUUGAAACAAGGUCCUCCUCAAGUACUUUUCAAUGUCAAUACGAAUAUCACUUUAAGCUUACGGCUUCCUCUUUAUAACCACAUAACUUAAUGCUUGCUUUCACAAGAUCCUUAGUAGAACUCCUCUUGAGUAUUUCCUUGGGGAUACUUAUCUUAAACUUAUGUGUCACCGCAUGUGAUCACUUAACCCGUGACUUAGCCGUUAGGCUCCUUAGUAAGUUUUUUAAAAUCCCACAUUUUAUACUCACCGUGUAUGAUUAGUAAUUCCUUCUCAAAGAUGUUUGUGCAUUCCUGAAACACUUGGUCUUUUAUUUUCUCCUUAAUAUCCCGAGCAUAUUGUCCUAUAGACAUGCACUUAUUCUUAAACAUAUAUAAAUACAUACUCGUCCAUUCAAUCCUUAAUUCAUCGUCAUAGGUUUCUAGUAUGCCACACAAUUAGCUUUGUGUUGUUACUAACCCUUUUCAUUUAGCUGAAUCAAGACAAGAAUUAUAAAUUCUCAUAACGAUAUUCUGGUUAAACCCAUUUACUAUACCACCCUUGUAAUCCUUCAUUCACACUUUCAUCACUUGGUAUUGACAUCCCUUACCCAUAUCUCAUAUAUUCAUCUAACUCUUCACUCACUUUUUCCUUAGCCUUGAACAAGGCUUAAUCUCUCAUCUCCUUUAUUUCUUAAGAUUUGACUUCGGUCAACAUAUUAUUCAUCCUAAUACUUCACAUGGUAUCUUAUCUCAAUGUAGCCAUCUCAAGAAUCUUUCAACUUCUCUUUCAAUUAUAUGCCCAUAUACAAGGCAAUAAAGAAACUUUUCAAUUCAUUCAUGUAAACAUUCUCCGGAACAUUUAAAACUCCAAAAUAACAAAACUCAAUGACUAAUGACAAUAAUUCAGCUUGUAAGCUCAUUAUCAUGCCACUCCCAUCUUGCUCAUGCAUCCUAGACAUGAGGUGUCCCUAGCACUACGACACUGGACAAUCAGUGCUGCAGCGUCGCGGCUGCUGGACAUGGGAUAGUUUCAAUGCUGCAGCGCUAAAGAGUUAGUGUUGUAAUGCUGUGACUGCUGGAAAUUUCUUCCACAAAUAAGUUUUUCCAUCUUUAAAGUUACUACAGGGAUCAUGCUCAUCCAUUUUGGCUCGCUUCCAAGCCUAUCCCACAAUUUUCAUGACCAACUGUAUCUUCUCUUUUGUUUAUCAUAUGCACUAAGCUGAGUCAAUAUUUUUCAAACUCAUUUUAUCCUUUAACACUUAUCUUCAACCAAUAAGUCUCACCUUAGGACAAUCUUGCCAUAUUGUGUAGCAAAUUCUCAAUAUAUAAUACCACACACAAAAUUAUUCACCAUUUAUGACAUUCCACAAUUCCUUAACAUUCACAAUUAAUUGUCCUUCUUGUCUUGUAACUCAAAUAGUUUUGUUGACUUUCAGUACAAAUGACCAUGAAAAUAAUUCAUCUUUCUCCGUGCUCUACAUUCACAAUCUUUAUUAAAUCAAGGAUUCACCUCUCCCCAAGUUCCAUAAUUUGCCUCCCUUAGUCCAUAUUUGUGCCAAAUUAUCAUCUUAUAAUGUCAUGGCAUCAUUUUGUAGUUCCUUCCAUACUUAAAUUUUACAAUCCUUGACUUAAUCACAUCACCCAUUCUAAGUGUCACCUAUAUCCUCAUUGAUUUCUCCCAUAUCCUUCCAAAUUGUAACUACAACUAGGAUUUCAAAUUUCACCUUUCCACGGUUAAUUGGUAAUCAUUUGUCAGGUCUCUAGUUGUUUGUACCAUUAAUGACUUUCUACGUCGAUCCUUAAUAAUCAUCUAAGGUGACCAACCACGCCACUAAGGUGAAUAUCCUUCCUCAAUAAUUAUAUUACUAGUCUACCUCUAUCAUACCAAAAGAUUCCCAUGCGCAUCAAGUCAUUUAAACAGCUACUUUAUAAUCCGUUCGAGUCAUACAAAAUAAAAGCCAACUCUUAACUCCUUUGUACGGAUAACUACUACUAUUUCCCUUACACUGCAUCUGCCUAGACUUAAAGUGAUACUAACUUCAACGAAAAUAUUAAGUGUCUUUAGGAUCCUCGUUGCCUUGAUCCGAGCACAUCGAUCGAUCCUCUUCCAGGUCCUCCUCUUCCUCUUGAGAUUUUCUCAUUUUUUAUUCUCAAUCCAAGCUUGUUGCUGCCUCUCAAAUUCCUCCUUACUAACAGGUACAGUACCUUUCCCAAAACCAAGAGGAAAGUGUCAGACAAUAGAUACGGAUACCUUCAUAGGAUGAUAAUUACUGAUAGUCCUUUUUCCCAUCUUACUCGUGUUCUUUUUCCUCGGACCGAUCUCAUUAUGCACCAAUCUUGCGAGAUUCCUCAAGCUCAUAAAUAGUGGUUUACCUUUUGGGGGAACCGAUCCACUCGAAAAUCAGGUCGAGUUACUUGUUACGCUUUCACCCUCGGGCACAUGUCGGCUCCGAGUAGUGGAAUCUAGCGAUCCUUCACUAGUACUAUAACGGGUAUAGGGACCACCAUCUGUUCUAGACAUGGCGUGUGCAACCGACGCACCUCCACCUAUAUGCAACCAAGUAUUGAUUACUCAUCCAUCUAGACAUCAUAAGAACAGGUAGGUUUCUAAUGAAGUAGGGGCCCAUGUAGCCUCCCGUCCUUGACUUACAUUGCACACCCACAAUCCAAGGACAAGACUCUACACGAACUCCAACAACUCCACUAACUGCAUAAGAAUUCCUAGGACUCAACUAAACCUAGAGCUUUGAUACCAAGUUUGUCACAACCCAAUUUCUGGGCUAUGACAGGUGCAACGGCCCAAUGGGCUCAGCCCAUUAAGCCUAAGCAAGCCUANUUGGCAAUCACCACCAUAUGGCUUCCUUUGUAUUUUGAUAAGUUCUGCAACUUCUAUUUAUCACUCGUCAUAUGAUUUUGGCAACCCGAGUCAAUGAUCCAGUCAUUCUCAUAAUCAAUCUGUUUAGACGUUGUUACUGUGAGAGCUAACUCCUCAUCUUCUAUAGUAAAGAAUGCUUCAGCGUCCCAAUCAUCUUUGUUUCUCUCAUUUGUAUUGGAAAUAGCAGCAUUGUUCUCCACAGACUUUUUACUGGACUAACAAACUUUUGCCAUAUGACUAUUUUUUCCAUAAUUGUAACAUUUUGUCAUGACCCGGUACUCUCCUCGAGCCCGUGACAACAGUCACGAUGUCUCGAUAGACAUUCAUUACCCUGAAUGCCAACCGAAACCUCGCAAGGCUUAAUAUCAGUUUUCGCACCUCCCCUGUGAGCAAUAAUUACUAAAUAUCAUAUUUUAAAAGAUUAUAAGCUAUUUCCAAAUCAAAA